rnacentral:lncRNA from 1 species
AGGAAUCCAUCUGGGCUGCCAGAGGGGUUCGAGGAUAGAGUCAAGGGAAGGGGUAUCGUUUGGAAGAAUUGGGCACCUCAGCUUAACGUGCUGAGUCAUGACUCAGUGGGUGGAUUCCUGACUCACUGCGGGUGGAGUUCGAGUAUAGAGGGGCUCAUGUUUGGUCAUCCGCUCAUUAUGCUGCCGUUUGUCGCAGAUACGGGGUUGAUUGCUAGGAUGCUGGAGGAAAAACAGGUGGGGAUAGAAAUACCGAGAAAUGAUGUAGAUGGAUCGUACGCGAGCCACUCGGUGGCCAACUCGGUAAGGUUGAUUAUGGUGGAAAACGAAGGUAAAAUCUUCAAGGACAAAGCUAAAGAAAUUAGUGCAAUAUUUGGAGAUCAGGAUUUGCAUGACAGUUACCUACACAAGUGUGUAGAUUACUUGGAAAAUAAAAGACAUGAAUCCAAAUAAGAACUGUCUUGGAAACUUUUGUGCCCAUUCUGCCAAGACCACCAUUAGUGUCAAAUACAUCCUAUCUGAUACACUUUAUUUAGCAUCUAGCUUUAGGAAAAUCAUCCUUAUCAAAGUUGAUAGAUUAGAAUAAUCUGUGGCACAUGAGCUGGCCACUUGUACCAGACGUUUGUAAUCUUGCUUCUUUUAAUAUAUUUUGCGUUGCUUGAUUUAAAAAAUGUAUCCAUUGUGGAUUUUCUUUUGUAUUUUUAAUUUAGUUGUUACUGAAAUUACAUCAUUUCCUUCACUGAGAAUGCCCAUUACAUCUUGUACAAACCGUCCAGAAAGGUUUAUCAUCAUAAUUUGGCAAAAAAAAAUGUAAGGUUCAGAUCAUAUCUUCUACAUCGAUUUUAAUAUCAUAUGUGAGAUUCACAAAAUUUUGUUCUAUAUUUACAAUAUAUUGAAAAUGAAUUACAUUCUAAACAAAUAAAAUUAUGUCCUGUGAAAUAGAACAAAAAUCAAUCCAAACAAUUUUUCUGAUGACCUUUUAAGUCCCCAGCUAGCCCCCACUUAAACCACCCCACCAUUCGCUUAGUCAAAAGCAAGAACAAAGACAAGAUGGCAGAAUCCAUCCAUAUGAUUGUGUCUAUUGUUCUCGAAAUAGUCGAUAAUAUAUAUAUAUAUAUAAAAAUUUCUUCAAUAAAAUCCAGAUUUAUGUGUAUUUGUUAGGGGUGUUAAUUAGGUUUUUUGAGUCGGAUUUUAGCAAGUCCAAACUUGGUUCAUAAAUUAUACAAAUUUUUGGGUUUCGAACUUUCGGGCUCUGAGUUCAUAUUAAAAAUCUCAAGUUUAGCUCAAGCUAUUAUAUGAGUUUCAGGCUCAAAUUGAAUUCGGUACAAACUCAUAAUUAAAUGGACAAUUAUAUAUAAUAUAUAUUUUAUAAUUAUGAAUUAAUACAAAUUCAUAUAUAAGUCAUUAACAUUUUAUGUCAUAGUAUGUAUAAUUAUAAACUAUAGAUAUUAUUAUACAUAUUUUACAUAUGUGAUUAUACUCAUAUAUGGAUUGGACUUUAAUUGAAUUUGAGUCUAGUUUGAUUCAAAUUCAACCCAAAUUUAGUUUGGCCCUAAUAUUUAAGUUCGAAAUUUGUCCGACCGAAUUAAAACUUAGGUUCAAUGAACUUUUCGAGCCGAACUUGAGCUGAUCGGACUUCAUUGACAAUGCUAGUAUUUGGAUAAGAGAUUAUUUUAAUAAGAUAAUAUUUUGAAAAAAUAUUGUAAUACAUUUUAUAAUAUAAUUUAUAUGAGAUAAAAAAGUGAUUGAAGAGAUAAAAAGAUAAUUAAAAGAUAUAAUUUCGAUGCAAUUAAUUAAAAACUCGUUUGGAUUGCUAAUCAGUAGGUUCUAUCUUUCCUUCAACACUGUGCGGCUACAUGUUCACUGUGACUUGACGUUGAUUUUGACGAGAUCAACAACAAUUUUCCGAAGGAAAGACAUCUAAAAAUGAACAAUAGAGUGGAUGCAGAAGAUGAUUUGGACUUUGGAGAGCAUUCCUAAGAACGAGUAAAUGGAUAAAACACCUCACCACUGGACAAACAAUUGUUGGACUUUGGACUUUGGAGAGCAUUCCUAAGAAGACCAAUAACUUAGUAGCCAAGCAAUAUCGAAAGAAGGCAAUAAGCACAUAUCCUCCAACAAAAUCCCAUUUAUUUCUAAAAAAGGAAAAGAAAAGUUCCAUUUAUUUAUUCUAAACUAGGCUUCAACUCCUAUGUAAGUAGUUGCAUGGCUUUCUUAUUCUUUUUUUUUUUUUUUCUCUAGUUUUCGUACUGACAUAAAAACUCAAACAAUAGAAUUUUCCAAGUAUGAAUUAUGUAAUUCUCUGUCUCCAAAAAUCAAACUUAAUUCCUUUGCCUUUUCUCUGCGUCUCUUCCCAUCAUUUUCAACCAUGAUCAGCCUCACUGACUCGGCCACAGAGUCACUCGUGUACAACCCGGUUUCCUCAUCUCUUGGAACUUCUAUCCCAACUCCGUUAUCUUCUAGAACCCUAGCAUUAAGCCCUUGAUCCACCAAGAAGGGCAGCAUAACAAGAGGAAGCCCAAGCAGAAUCCCCUCCACGCAGGAACUCCAACCACAGUGAGUCAAGAACCCUCCCACCGAUUCAUGACCCAGUAUCCUCAUCUGCGGUGCCCAUCCUUUCCACACGAGCCCCCUUCCCUUGACUCGCUCUUCAUACCCAUCUGGCAACUCAAAGGGCUCGUUUGACCCGGCUGGUUUCCUUAAAGCCCAAAAGAAUGGCAACCCCGAUGACUCCAAUCCGAGUGCCAACUGAGUCACAUGGGAUUGAUUCAGUGCGACCUCGCUCCCCAAUGCAACGUAAAUUACUGAGCCUCUUUCUUGAACUUCAAGCCAUGAGCUAAUGAAAUCCCAUGUUUCAUUUUUCUCGUCUGAGCCGUUGACGUGAGUCGGCGGUGGCAUUAAGCCGAGUGGAAUAAACGGCUUUUGAUGAAGCUCUCCAAGCAAAUUUAACCACGCGCCUUCGAACUCUUGGCAGUGCCUUAUUAGAAUCGAGUCAGAGCCGGCCACGACUUUGCCGGCGCGGUAAAUAUCGGAAACGCCGGAGACAUUCCUUUCAGCGGAGCUCAACAUCCAGUUCGCCUCAAACGGCUUGUAAGCCACUUUAUUCUUAAACGGGACCCACUUAGGUGGGACCAAGAAAUCCUCUGCCUUUUUCCUGGGAUCUGGCCCGUCCACCAUCAUAUCGGUUGGCCCAAAAAAUGCAAAAAACCAAGCGUUGAAGAUACAAAAAUAGACACGAGAAAUCCCAAGCUUAGCAGCGGCUUCAGGCAGCCAAUAAGGGGCGAAGUCGUAAAUAAUCAUGUCAGGAACUGAGUCCUCCAAGAAACGAGUCAACUCGGGUUGGAGCCCGUCAUAGGCUUUCUUGAGAUGCUCAACAUCUUCGGUGCGAACAUCCAUAGUGGCCUCCGCAUUUUCAGGGAGCCCUUUAACUUUGGGUAGUGGAAUUUUAACUAAGGUGAUAGAAGUAGCUAGUUCUGGUGGGAUUUUCGGGAGGCGGUCGAUGUUUUUCGGGGUGGAAAUGAAGGAAAUUCUGUGACCCUUUUGGACUAAGAAUUUGGCAUAUUCUAAAAAUGGAAUUAUGUGACCAAAGGCUAGCCAUGGGAACAUAGCUAUGUGUAGCUUAGCUUCUUGAGCUUUGGCCAUGGGGUUCCAAGAAUCAGAAACCAUGGUUGUGGAGCUAACGGCUUCUGUUUGGUUCUUGAAGUUAAAAUCAUGGAUUAACGUCGCCAUAUAUGGCGGGGAUGAGCUAUGCAAAGUAUUGCAGGAUAGCCAAUGGGAGUAUCUGUUCGUUUUCAGAUGUUGCUUUGUUCGAUGCCUGCAAGCCAAUUUGAACUUGUAUAUGCUAUUUAUAAUGAUAGCAGAUGUUUUUUUUCCUGCAAACUAGAUUGCUGUUCAUAUUAGACUAUUUGCAAAAGAUUUUUGAAAGGGAAUAAAACUCCCUCACCUCUAUUUGAUAUUCACACAUUCUCACUACCUCAACUUAAAUUGGUCAAGAUGCAAUGCAUGUUAUGGUGAUGAGAGUGCGUGAAUUUCAAAUAGAGAUGUGCGAGUAUUAUUGCCCAUAAAUUAGUUUUGGAAUGUAUGUUUCGUACUUAACCAAAAACCAUAUCAAUUGUUAUUGUGAGUUUGUGAUUGGUGUGUUUAAUAUAGUCAGCUUUCUCGAUUUCGUUAAAAAAAAUGUAGAUUUGAUUACUACUUUUCCAAGCCAAGCAACAUUAUGCUUUGCCUAACUUUUGGGAAUUUGAGACAGAACUAUUACUUAUUAAUUCUUCUAGAACUCAUUUUUGGAGAAAAAUACUCGUGUAGGCUUGGUCUAUAGUUUACUUAUAAAUCAUGUGAUAUAUGUAAUAGCUAUAACGUAAAAAAAAAAAAAAAAAGAUAGUGACUAACGUAUACACGAUGAGAUAAGAAAAUUCAUGCCAUCGACUAUUACAUCUCGCACAUGGUCUGCAAAUAUUCCAGUCAACCAAGCCAGACAAGUAUUUGUUUCUUCCUUGGACUACUUGUCAAAACAGCCAAACCGAAAAGUACAGACCAAAACAUUGAAUUACCAGCCACUCAAAAUUUCACAACUGGGCGGAAAGACGUUGGCAAAUGGAACUUUUCUUCUCAAAAACUGGGUAGAUUUGAGAAGGUGAAUCACUUGCCCGAGUGGAAAUUGAUAUCACACGGCCUAGAGAAAACAAGUAUAUGUACUUUUGUUAAUAAGAACUGCCUCACGCAAUUAUAUAUUCGAGCAAUUUUUUUAUUUUUUUUGGUUUAAUAAGAACUGCUUCAUGCAAUUAUGUGUUCCAGCACCACAGCAUUAGGCGCCAGCCAUUGUCGUAGCUAGACUAGUGCUAGUAUGAUUUUGCCCCAAACCAAACUACUGGCCCACGGAAAUUUUGUUUCAAGACGAUAUCAUUCUUAAAUUCAUUUCCCCGUCAUGUUUUACGCUACCAAAUUUCGAGUAUUUGACUUGACAUUGGCCUUUGAGUCGGUAUUGUCUUUAUAAACAUAAAACACACGACUCUCUAUGUAGGAACGUGAUUCAUGGGAUCUGUGCAGUCAAAAUCCAGCGGGGGUGAGAAUCUUGCUUUUAAACAAGGAGCAGCAGAGGCGGGACCUGUCCACCGUUUCAUCAUCUUCUAUACUUAAAUUAGUAAGGUAGAGAGUGAGAGAGGCCGUUGCUUGUUACUUCACUUCAAACGGGAAAGAGUCAAGGGUACUUACAGUUUGGAGAACCGACUUUAAUUGUAUUUAGAAAAGUGUAUUCGACAUAAUUUUUUUUUUUUAGGUCUGGAGGCUAAUACCUCAGAGCUUUGCCUCAAAAAUACCCAACAAUGAUAGCACGUAAGGAUCGAAGCUGGAACUUUACUAUAAUUAUAGACGAUCAGUCCCAACCGAGCUACCCACGAAAGGCUAUUCGACGUAACUACAUGAGAGUUAUCUGCAAUGCCGUCUCCCUAACUCAUCAGAUGUCAAGGUGCUAAUGCGAAUUAAAUCAAUCAUAUUCUUGGCCUCCUCGUCCGAGUAAAAGAUCUAGAUGACUUGGGAAAGGACAUCUUGGAAACUAAUCCGAACAACUAGUACGACGCUUCUUGGAUCUAGGUCCAAAAUCAAAAUAGAGUCUGGUACUUGUUCGGUAUUCCAAUAUCGGGAGUAGAAGUGUUGUUAAUAUUAUUAUUAUUAUUAUUAUUAUUAUAGUAAUGGUAGCAGUAUACAUAUAUGAGUGUGUCUACAGUUUUACGUAACAAUUUCUGAUACAUGGUGCAUUAAUUCUGGCAAUGAGAAAUUAAAGAGAAUUUGGAAACUUCCCAGAUUUUAUAUCUUGAGCAUUACCUAGCAGAUCAUCCAUGAUUCCAAUUGCAUGUGUUUGGGAGUUCAAGACAACUCAUGGUGUAUUAGGUUAAAGUAUCUUCCUCGUUUAUUUUAGCACUUUAAAAUUUUUAAAUUUCUAUAUGUUAGUUUUUUGUGUGAAGUAUGAUAUGGUAUGAUCAUAUAUGAGAAAAGUUAAAUAAAUCAACAUAAGUUAUUGAUACACAAUGAUUUCUGUUCAAAAAACAAUUAUAACUAAUCGGUGACCAAUUUACUUAGGGGUGACAAUGGGGCGGGGUUGGGGCGGGAGAACCUUCCCCCACCCCCCACCCCGUUGUCAAACCCUUGUCCCGCCCCCGCUCCCGCCCCGUUUCCCCUACGGUCUCCUACGGAGAAGAAAUCAACUUAUCAUAAAUGUUCAUUUACAAUAAUACAAUUGUGAACAAUGUUAAAUAAGAUUAAAAAACUGUCAAUAUGAAAAUAAAGUAUAACAAGUCAAGUUACAUUCAGUGCGGAGGAAGGGAACUGAUCGAAAUAAAAAAGGGUUAGGAGCAAAACAGGUUGGAAUUGGAUAGUUUAGUCUUGGGGGGGCGUUAGAAACAAAUUAACAAUAGUCCAAGAAAUUUCUUCAGUUGUUGCGGCGGCCGUUGACAUUGACUAGCAUUGUACUUGUAAGUAAGGAUGCAACUUUUGAAAAUUUAGGAUUGUAUUAUAUAUAUAUAUAUAUUUUAAUUGUAUGCGGGGAACGGGACGGGGGAUGGGGCGGAUGUAUGUUUCCCCACCCCCCGCCCCGUUUUAAGGCGGGGGGGAAAUAUUUUGACCCUGCCCCAUUUCUACCCCCGCGGUGCGGGUUCCUACGGGCACCUACCCCCAUUGCUAUCCUUAAAUUUACUAGGUGAUAAAUUACAUCUUGUUAUAAAAUUUAUGAUUGUUUUCUCCUUGAUUUUGACCAAAUAUUUCAUUAAUUAAUAGAUUCUACUUAUAUUUGGUAAUUGGUGUUGGUUGCAGGAAUUCGAGCAAAAAGUAAUAAAGAUGUGAUUUUUAACUGAAUUUUUGUGCGAUUCAGCAUGAUGCGUCAAGGUCCAAACCCUACAUGUCCAGAAAGUUCGGGGAUUUAGCACGUGAUCUCCAAUCUUAAAUUGAAGUCCUGGAAGUUAGAUUCUUCACCGAAUGAAUAGUCUCUUACUUUUGUUACAAUAGUAGUCUAGGCUAUUUUUAAGGACUCUUUAAAAAAUUAUUCGUUGGAUUAUUAGAAUUAGGACUUUGUUUUUAAAGAGUAGUUUAGUCGGAAUAGGAGACCAAGAAAAAGAGGAUUGUCGUAUAUCUUUUCUUCUUUUUUUUUCUCACGAAGUCAGGACAUCAUGGGGACUUCUUUGCUUUUCCUCAAGAAAUAAGAACGACGUCUUUUUCUUUUUCUUUUCUUUUUGGCGUUCCAUCCUAUAAUUGAAGAAUGGUUUCGACAAUUGAUUCAACUAUUUUGCGUGUGAUUUCUUCAAUGGAAAUGAACUAAACUUCUCGUUUUCUAGUCAAGGGACGAUGGAGGAUUUGGUUCAACUAAAAUUAUAAGAUCAAAUUGAUUAUAUUUAUUUUUUAUUUACUGGUAUUCGUAUGCUCUCUGAUUUAAUUUUUUAUGGUUAUUAUAUUAUUUGAAUAUCUAGGACCUGGUGUUUAAAUUAAUCUAAUAAUCUAAAACAAUUAAAGUAAUUAAAUUCAUAAUUUUUAAUUGUUUUAAACUAGUGGUAACUGACAUGAUUAGAUUUAUCGCAGAGGAACAUAUAGGCUAAUUUAAAAUAACCAUCAUAACGCGUUAUUUACUUAGAACAGAAAAUUGAACUCUACGGUCAUAGUUAGAGUUAUUUUUUGAUUAGGACAAUGGUUAAUAGUCGCACCUCAAUCACCAAUACAUUAAGGAGAAAUUGAUUACCAUCGAUUGUUUAGCAAUUAUAACUUGUUUAUCAGUGCGUAAAUGGAAUUAUCAUUAUAUCAAUGAUCAAUUGAAUGAAUCAUAUCCGAAAUUAUUUCUUGGUUAGAGUUUAUCUAUUAUUACUUCAAUUUUAAUAAAUUGUCAUUUAGUUUUUAUAUAUUUAUUUUAAUUGAGUUGUUUUAAUUAUUUCCAGUUUAUAAAAAUCUCCCAUAUUCCAAGCUCUAGAAGAAACGAAUUUUUUCCAGUCCCUUGAAUUCGAUCCUACUCAUCGUUAUAUAUAAAAAUUUAUAUUUUAUUUGAAUAGAUAUUUAUUAUUGUAGAAGAUAUGACACCCAUCGCUAGGGACGGAGAGAGCACUAGGCAAAGCUGCCCUUGACAACAUGCUAGCUUUAGGUGUCAAAGUUUGAUUAGGCUGCAUGGAACUUCUGCGAAGUUUGUCUGGACGUUAUUUGUGCAUGAAAAGCCAAAAAUGGUCGGGUGGCUCUGACUAGCUUAAGUGAAAAGAAGUUACAAUUGACCAAACUAAUAAAAAGGAUCAUUGGAUUUAAAUCUCCACAUUUGCAAAAAUCACCCACUAUUGCUCAAAUCCAUGGGAGGAGCAUUACCGCAUUAGUUUGACAUACGCACAACCUGGCCAGUAAAACCACCUAUCUCACGAAUCUAUUAAAAGAAAAAAAAAUCUACAGGGGAUGGAAGGACUGGGUUCUUUAUCUUCAUAAGGAUUUUAGACAUCAUAUAGGAGGCUGAUCAUUAGCAGAAAUAGUGGGGGAGCUAGUAGUCAAGGUUAAAGGAAACAACUGUUUUAGUAUAGAAUACAUUAUUAUUAAAGGCAAUAGAUAUAUGUAUAUAUAUAUAAUGAAUAAUAACAUAGAAAUGUAUAGACAACUGGUACGAUAGUUUUUCCAAUAUUUUCAAAAUUAUAAAAUGUUUCACUGACAUAAAUAAUGUAAGGCCGGGUGCAACCCAAUGAGUACAAACAAUUUCACAAUGAUGCACAAAAAUAUAUCAAAUUUAAGCACAAUAAAGAAAACUUAAUUAAAGAGAAAAGAUAAGAAAUGCAAACCAAAUAUCAAUCCAAUAGCCUCUUCAAUAGAUGGCGAUGCUAACCAAGAUGUACAAGUGAAGGCUCACUCCUUCCUCACUCCAAACACUCUUUGGUUGAGCCAAGGAGUUUUACAACUAUUCUAGUUAACCCUCAACAACCUACACUUGAAAGAUCACUCACCCAAUUAAGAACUAUUUUAUACAAAUGAGGCAACCUUCACCAAAGUUUUACCACUUCAAGUGAUAGGUUCACCUUCACCAAGGUUUUACUCCACUUAGAGAGUAACCUUCACUUGAGCAACCUCACAACCCAACUUUCCCAACCCCUUAUACAACCAACAAAGAAUCUUUCUACUCAAAAAUCUCACUUGUAAGCUUGUAUUUUGUGUUGGCAAACGUCCUCUGCCUUCUUGUGUUUUGGGGUAUUUAUAGAAGGUGAGAAAUGACUCCAAAAGGCUCUCCAACGGUCAAAUAUUAAAUGCUGUCGAAACUAGCCGUUGGCCUGUCGGACGUCCGACAGCUUAGUCAUCGUCCGAUCCCAUCGUCCGAAAAAUCAGUCAAGUUGUUGUUCGGACGUCCGAUGGGAUUUUAUCGUCCGAACUUCUGUGUCCGAACGUCGUCCAGAGAGUUAUCAAAUUUUCGUGGAAUUUUUAGGACGUCCGAUGAGAUUGAUGUGCGUCCGAAGCAUGCGUCCGAUCCAUCCGGACGUCCGAUGCUUCCUCACGAGCGUCCGACAGAAUUUCCUUCUUGAUGUUCUUCAUCCUUUCGGACGUCCGAUAGCUUCCUUUCGGACGUCCCACAUGAGUGCCCUGUUUUUGCUUCUUCUUUUGUGCCACAAGAAUCUGUUCUAACAAAUUGCUCACAUAAAAACAUUAGCCCAAAUCUACAUUUUGGUUUGUUAAUCAUCAAAACCAAGGACUGAUCAACCAAGGUCAACAAUCUCCCCCUUUUUGAUGAUGACAAACAAAAUGAAAAUUUCUUUGAUCAAAUAAGUUCAAAUAAAACUCCCCCUUAGAAAAUGCCAACAUACAAAGAAACUUCAAUAAGUCCUACUCCCCCUUUUGGCAUCAAUAUAAAAAUAUUAGCCCAAAUCUACAUUUUGGUUUGUUAAUCAUCAAAACCAAGGACUGAUCAACCAAGGUCAACAAUCUCCCCCUUUUUGAUGAUGACAAACAAAAUGAAGAUUUCUUUGAUCAAAUAAGUUCAAAUAAAACUCCCCUUAGAAAAUGCCAACAUACAAAGAAACUUCAAUAAGUCCUACUCCCUCUUUUGGCAUCAAUCAAAAAGCCAACUUCCCCUUUAUUUUCAAGUCAAGACCAUAAUAGGGUCCUUGGGAGUUAUUACAACAUGAUCUAGCAAUCCACAUGGAUUUCAUACCUUUUCUCAUAUUUUUCUUUACAUAGCAAUCAUUUUGCAUAUGUCCAAAUUGGCAACAAAAGUGACACAUGAUAGAAGUAUUUUGCACAUACGUGGAUUUAAUGCAACUAAUUUUCUUACUUCUUAUCAUAGCAAACUUAUUUGUACCUUGAAAAGAUUUGCUUUCUUUUGUUUGAGAAAACGUUUGUUUUUCAUUUUGGAGAAACUCGUUCAAAUCAUUAAUUCUUUUCUUUAACACAUUUUGUUCCUCCAACAUUUUUUCAUAAAACUUUGUUUUCUCUUCCAACUUCCUUUUCAAAUUAUUUUUGCAAUCAAAAACACUUUUUUGAUUUUUUAAAUCAUCAUUUUCCAUUCUCAAACAUUUGUUUUCUUGAAAAAGUUUGGAGUUUUCUUCCAACAAAUCAUUUAUUUUUGUUUUCAAAUCUUUAUUUUUAGCAUAAGAUUUUCUCAAACUUUUAUGCAUUUUAAUCAUAAGAAUUUUCACAUCAUCAUCUUCAUUAUCUUCAUCACAAGAAGAGUGAUAAGAACUUACAUCAUCUUCUCCAACGGCCAUUAGUGCCAUUUGGGCCAACUCUUCUUUUUCUCUUUUUGAAUUGCAUUCAUCCCAUGUAAUUUUGCAAUCUCCUCUUGAACAUCUCUUGUUGAAGAUCUUCUUGAAACUUUUGAUGUGAGGAGUUAUAUCAUUGUCCACUUCCAUGAUUUCAUUACCCAUGAAGGAUGGGUUAUCCCCCACUUGAGAUGCUUUAAAAGCUAUGCCUCUCUUAUACAUUCUUGCAUUUUCUUCCUCUUGCACUUUGAAUUUCAGCUUUAAUUCAUAAGAGGUUAGGGUAUCCACAAGAGAUUCAAUGGACAUAGAAUUUAAAUCCUUUGCCUCUUCUAUAGCAUUUAUUUUGUUUUCCCAUUCUUUUGGCAAGGCAUUCAAAAUCUUUCUAUUUUUCUCACCCAAAGAAUAUUCUUUUCCAAGCAAUUUAAGAUCUUCAAUAAUGUCACAAAAUCUACUACACAUCUUAUCAACAUUUUCAAGAGGAUGCAUUUUGAAAAAUUCAUAUUGAGAAACAAGCAAAGAUUUCUUUUGUUCUUUAAUAUCUUGGUUACCUUCAUGAAAUACACACAAUUUAUCCCAAAUAUCUUUAGCUGAUUUACAACCUUUAAUCCUACUAGAUUCAUUUACAUCUAAUGCAUUGUACAAUAUACACAUGGCCUUGGCAUUCAAAGAAAGGUAUCUCUUGUCUUUUUCAUUCAAUUCUUGUCUAGUCUUUAAUCUACUCAAAUUGGUGGUAGAGUCAACUAUUCUAGCUUCAUAAGGACCAUCUUCUACCACAUACCAUAAUUCAAUAUAAACGGAUUGUAAGAAAAUCAUCAUUCUUUGUUUCCACAUGCUAAAAUGAGAACCAUUAAACAUAGGUGGUCUAUCAAUAGAUUGCCCUUCUAAAAAAGAAACUUUUAUGGUUGCCAUGAUCUUUACUCUAAGCGGUUAAGCUUGAUCAAAAGAGACCAAGCUCUGAUACCAAUUGUAAAGUCCGGGUGCAACCCAAUGAGUACAAACAAUUUCACAAUGAUGCACAAAGAUAUAUCAAAUUUAAGCACAAUAAAGAAAACUUAAUUAAAGAGAAAAGAUAAGAAAUGCAAACCAAAUAUCAAUCCAAUAGCCUCUUCAAUAGAUGGCGAUGCUAACCAAGAUGUACAAGUGAAGGCUCACUCCUUCCUCACCCCAAACACUCUUUGGUUGAGCCAAGGAGUUUUACAACUAUUCUAGUUAACCCUCAACAACCUACACUUGAAAGAUCACUCACCCAAUUAAGAACUAUUUUAUACAAAUGAGGCAACCUUCACCAAGGUUUUACCACUUCAAGUGAUAGGUUCACCUUCACCAAGGUUUUACUCCACCUAGAGAGUAACCUUCACUUGAGCAACCUCACAACCCAACUUUCCCAACCCCUUAUACAACCAACAAAGAAUCUUUCUAUUCAAAAAUCUCACUUGUAAGCUUGUAUUUUGUGUUGGCAAAAGUCCUCUGCCUUCUUGUGUUUUGGGGUAUUUAUAGAAGGUGAGAAAUGGCUCCAAAAGGCUCUCCAACGGUCAAAUAUUAAAUGCUGUCGAAACUAGCCGUUGGCCUGUCGAACGUCCGACAGUUUAGUCAUCGCCCGAUCCCAUCGUCCGAAAAAUCAGUCAAGUUGUUGUUCGGACGUCCGAUGGGAUUUUAUCGUCCGAGCUUCUGUGUCCGAACGUCGUCCAGAGAGUUAUCAAUUCUUCGUAGAAUUUUUAGGACGUCCGAUGAGAUUGAUGUGCGUCCGAAGCAUGCGUCCGAUCCAUCCGGACGUCCGAUACUUCCUCACGAGCGUCCGACAGAAUUUCCUUCUUGAUGUUCUUCAUCCUUUCGGACGUCCGAUAGCUUCCUUUCGGACGUCCCACAUGAGUGCCCUGUUUUUGCUUCUUCUUUUGUGCCACAAGAAUCUGUUCUAACAAAUUGCUCACAUAAAAACAUUAGCCCAAAUCUACAUUUUGGUUUGUUAAUCAUCAAAACUAAGGACUGAUCAACCAAGGUCAACAAAUAAUGUUAAAGUAAUGAUAUGAUUAAUGUUUUUGUACAUUAGACAGGUAUAGUUCUUAAAAAUAAAUUCAAAUGUAAAUCAUUCAUUCAAUGGCAAUCCGUUUGGAUUGUAAAUAUUGUAGGAGUUUUGUAGAAAAAAAAAAACACUAUUGUAACAUUGUUUUAACAUAUGAUGUAUGUGAGGUAAAAAGAUGGUUGAAAAUGUGUUAAGGAAUAUUCUCAUAGAAACUCAAAAUAUUUUCCAUGAAGAAUAAAUUUUAAUGUUUUCAACUACAAAAAAAUCCAAAAAAAAAAAAAAAAAUAGCGCACAAAUGUAUACAUAAUCAUUUCUUUCGCUGGAAAAACUAAAUAAUAAAAAUCAAAGAUUGAAAGGUUAGUUCUGUUUUUUUAUAACUCUAGCAUCAUAAUACUUGUAUCAGGCUAAUCUUCAUCUGAAUAAAAUUCUUCACAAGCAACAGUUUGAAUUGACCAAAUCCAAAUUGAAUAAGAUUGGUGCAAUAAGUAUAAGAUCCGUAAUCCAAGGUACUAAUUAAUUAAGAAUCUAAUUAUGUCCAGCAAUGACGUUUAUAUAAACAACUAUGCCGUCCAAAACACGCUAAGAUUCAUUUAUAUUUAAUUAUCAACUCCAACGUUAUACUACACCGGCCACUUAAUUAAGUACUUUAAUCUUAUUCAAUUCCAGUUUUUCUAUUUUGUUGUUUGGAUAUAUUACUGCAACAAUUGUUCUUCUCUGCAUCUGUACAGCCUUGUCCUCAAAAUUUGGCAAGCCAGUGUAGCAAUUAGCCCGGGAGAGAUUAAUUAUAGAGCGAUUAAUGGCUGACAAUAGGAAAUUACACGUAGCAGUGUUCCCAUGGCUAGCAUUUGGCCACCUGAUUCCAUUUUUUGAGGUGGCCAAAUUCAUAGCUCAAAAGGGCCACAAAAUUUCCUUCCUAUCCACCCCUAGGAACAUGAAUCGCUUGCCAACUUUGCCUCCAGACUUAGUCCCGUGUUUUGAUUUCGUUAAUCUCACAUUACCAAGGAUAGAAAACCUUCCCGAAAAUGCAGAGGCCACUAUGGAUGUUCCCCCUGAAGACAUCCAUUUUCUCAAGAAAGCAUUUGAUGGUCUUGAAGAUGAGUUGACUCAGUUCCUUGAGUCUUCAACUCCUGAUUGGAUUAUUUACGAUUUUGCUCCUUAUUGGUUACCUCCCAUUGCUGCUCAGCUUAGAAUUUCUCGUGCCCAUUUCUUUGUGAUUAAUGCAUGGUUUUUGGAUUUUUUUGGACCAACAUCGGUCAUGAUCGAUUCCCCCAAGAAAGAUUUGACUCUUAAGGAUUACACUGCCCCCCCGAAAUGGAUUCCAUUUCCUACGAAUUUAGCAUAUAGGAUGUACGAGUGGAAACGGACUCUGGAGACGUCAAACAAGCCUGGAGGGAGCGUUACUGAUACGUAUCGGCUUGGCUCGGCCAUAUCGGGGUGUGACAUGAUUAUAAUUCGUCACUGCUUCGAGUUUGAACCGUUAUGGUUGAACCUGCUCGAAGAACUUCAUCAUAAGCCAGUCAUUCCACUCGGUCUCAUGCCACCAGGUGAUCAAGAAAUUGAAACCAUUGACAAAAAUGAAUCGUGGGUUGCAAUCAAGGAGUGGCUUGAUGAGCAGAAGAAGUUGUCUGCGGUUUAUGUAGCUUUGGGGAGUGAGGUGGGACUGAGUCAAGAUGAACUCACUGAGUUAGCUCUUGGAUUGGAGCUGUCAGGUUUAAGCUUCUUCUGGGCUUUAAGGAGGUCUGAUUCGUUGGAGCUACCAAAUGGGUUUCUGGAGAGAGUUAAGGACCGAGGGAUUGUAUGGGAAACUUGGGCUCCCCAAUCCAAGAUACUAAGUCAUGACUCGGUCGGCAGUUUCUUGACCCACUGUGGCUGGAGUUCUAUAAUUGAGGGACUUGAGUUUGGUCGAGCACUAAUAAUGUUACCAAUAGCUGUUGAUCAAGGUUUGAAUGCAAGGAUUCUGGUGGAUUCAAAGGUGGGUGUAGAAAUUCCAAGAGAUGAAAAUGAUGGUUCUUUCACUAGAAAUUCUGUGGCCGAGUCAGUUAAGAAAGUAACAGUUUGUGAAGAUGGUCAGAUUUUCAGGGAUAAAGCAAAGGAACUGAGUUAUGUAUUUGGAGAUAAAGAUAUGCACAAUAGGUACAUGAUAAUGAUAAUGAGUUAAUAAUGUAUUUGGAAAAUUGGACUGUGAAUUAUGAUAAUGAUCAAUUUUUGUGUUUUGUUUUGUUAUAUUAUGUUGUUUCUCAUUGUUAAAGUGUCAUGUUGGUAAUAAUGGUGCCAAUUCUUCAAUUCCCCUGCGAAAAUGUAUCCAGUGGGGUACAUUGCAUGUCACAGUCUCAAGGGGAAAUGAGCUACGGAUAGAGAUUAAAAUAUCCCAAGUUUAUAACCCAUGACAUAUGUUCUUGGGAAAAGAGACCAAUGAACUUGAUCAAUAUAUCCAAAUCUUGACCUCCAUGUCAAAAUUACUUGCCCCAAUAUUGCACUAAAAGUGCUUAAAAUAAAUGAAAGUUUUGUAGGAGUAUUUGUAUUAGAAUCUUUUCAACAUAAGAUUUUGAUAGCUAGAAAAACUGAUACAUCUCAAAAAGUAAUGAUUAAAACAUCUAUGGAGAACCCAAAAAGAAAAAAGAAAAAAAAAUAAAAAAGAUUCAUGAUAAAAAAAAAUGUAGCAAAAUUUGAGCUACUGAAAAGUACAUUUGAGUUUCGUACUAUUUCCAAAAAUAGCAAAUUCUUCUCUAUCAUAAGAAAUGAUGAAGGUCCAAUAUCAAUUAUUGGAAGCAUGAUUCAUGUCGUUUACCCCUUAAAAGAAAUUGACAUGCAAUUGAACAGAACAUGAAUCAUAUGGGUAAGCGCCAGAAUGAAGACUAUAUAGCCUGUAAUUCAGCAAACUAAAUCAUUGAUAAACUUUAGCUUCUUAUAAACCUCAGUAUUAACGGGCCAACUCUCUGUUUGAAUUGCACGAAAACAAAGAAAUUCUGAAAUUUUUUGUAAUGCAUAUGCAUGCGUACCUUUAUCCAGAAAAUGUUAUACAAUAUAAUCUUGGGAAAAAUGCACUUUUCAUCUUCAAAAUUUGGGCUGUUGACUAAUUUCAUCCUCAAAGUUUCACCCAAAACACAUUUCAUCCUCAAAGUUACGUAAUUUUGGCCAAUUAAGGACAAUUGACGGGAAAUAAAGAAAUUGGUGUUAAAUCCAACUGUAAACCCAACAAAAAAUGGAUUUAACCGAAUGGAGCCAUUUUUUAACAGAACAAAAAUUGUUGCAACGGACGAAAACCAACAUUCUUCUCCUUCUUCCCUCUGUCUUUUUGCAACCCCAAAUUUUUUUUCUCAAUCUCUGGAUUUCUUAGACGUUUGCAAAUGCCAAAUCCAGUUGUAAGGUUCGUUUACUUGGUGGAGGUUGAUUUCCACCACAUCCCCAUCCCUAACACCCACCUUGGUUUCUUCCUCCUUCACCUCCCUAUCUCCAACCGUCUCUUUCACCCCCUCUACCACCACCACCACCUCCUCCACUACUGCCGCCGCCAUCACCACCACUCCCACUUCCCCAACCAUGGCCUCCACCAUUUCCACCACCGCCGCCUCCUCCUCCACCUCCACCCCCACCCGCACCUCCACGUCCAUCUCCACCGCCACCACUGCCAGCACCUCUGCCACCACUACCUCUCCUUCUACCGCAUGUAUGUUUUCCUCUCCUUUUCCUCCUUCCACCACCUCUCCCUCCACUACCACUUCCACCGCCUCCACCUCCAUCUCCACUGCCGCCGCCACUACCGCCGCCGCCAUCCCCUCCUUCUCCUCCACUACCUCCAUAGUGCGCAACCUGAUUGCCAUUUACUUCCAGAACUCGUACCGUUAUGGUGAACAAUCACAUUCCCAUCCUUUGCAUGUUGACCAUUUCCACUCUCACUUCCCCAACCACCGCCUCCUCCAUUUCCACCACCGCCUUCUCCCCCACCCCAAAACAAUAGAUGGGAUUAUCUGAGGAUGGGUGGAGAGAUUGUGAAAUAUGGAUAUGAUAUCGAGCUUAGCCUGCACGCUUAGAUUCUGGAAACCGCGUUCUUCUGCCAAUUGGGAAUUCAGAGAUCCAACCAGGAUUUGGGCAGCCCCAUAUGCUGCGAUUGCUAACUUGUUAGCGGAGCAAGAAGAAAGAACCAAGAGGGCUGCUGCUGCAAGGUCAAUCAAUGACUCUUUUUGGCAUUGAAUGAUCUCCAACAAUAUUGGUAUGGCACCAGAAUUUGCAAUUCGGAUCUUGUUUCUGCAAAAUCAUAGCAAAAUUAGAUGGGGAACAAUUCUACAGCCAAUGCCUUCGGAUGCAACUUCAAAAAUUGCAAAAUUUAACUGAUGCAAACAAUACCUUUCAUUGUGAAAAGCUAGACAAUGCAGAGCAGAGUGCAGCUUUAGUGGCUUCAUAAACUUGCUUACGAAGCAUCGUAACGAGCCGAGAAAUGAUCCCUCUUUCUGCUAACUCUGUCUUAGUUUGGUUGCAAGUUUACCAAGUUCUCUGGCAGCUAAAAUCUGAGCUUCCCGUUCAUUAGAUAGAAGGGUUUCCACUAUCACAUCUUCCAUGGUUGGAAGCCCUCUAUCCCCCUCAGUCACUUCUCAACUCUCUUUAUGUGAAUUUGAAAAUAUAGAAAUUUAGUAUUUGAUUGCUUCAAGGUGGUGUAAGGUUUGGCUUUUGGGAAAAAAUUUUGGAGUUGCAGAAAGGCAGAGGGAAGAAGGAGAAGAAUGUUGGUUUUGGUCCGUUGCAACAAUUUUUGUUCUGUUAAAAAAAGGCUUCAGUCGGUUUAACCCAUUUUUUGUUGGGUUUACAGUUGGGUCUAACGCCAAUUUCUCUACUUCCCGUCAAUUGUCCUUAAUUGGCCAAAAUUACAUAACUUUGAGGAUGAAAUGUGUUUUGGUGAAACUUUGAGGAUGAAAUUGGUCAACAGUCCAAACUUUGAGGAUGAAAAGUGCAUUUUUCCCUAUAAUCUUUCUAAGACAAAAGUUUAAAAGCUCAUAUGCAGAUGGAUAGAUUUCGCGGUGCAUUGUGUAAUGAUAUUGCUCGAACAAGAUGCUCUGCUCUUCCUCAGACGAGUUUUACAAAGUCAAAUUCUUUACAGCGCGAAGCGAUAACAGGAGUAUGGUAGAAAAAUAUUCAGCAACUAGAGAGAACUAGGAGGUGUUUACCACGCGAUGCGCGGUAUAAGUUUAAAGAUUGCCCAGAAAAUGAGGAGGGAUUUUGUGUGAGGAAAACUUGGUUGUUUAUAUACCUAUUGUUUUUUUGGUUUGUGUUGAUUGCAUUUUGAUUUGAAUAGUAAAAAUUGAACUGGAAAGUGGAAAUUAUUUUAUUUGGAUGUUUGGCUUAGUUAUAUUUGUGGUAGUAUUGUGAUAGCGACAGAUAAUUAGUGCAAAAAUGAGAAUUUAUUGUAAAAUAAAUAAGUAUGUAAUAAAGGAGGAGUGUAAAGACAAAGAAAAUAAAAUAGGAAAUGUAGUUAUAAUACGCAGGAAUUAUGAUUAAAUAUACAUAGUGAAAAUCAGAUUAAAGGCAACAGUGAUGUACGCAAAAUAAGUAGAAGGUCAAUCAUUGAUGUUAAGGUUGUUCAUGUUAAUAUUCUCAGCAUUGAAAACUUCGUCAACCGAGUAGGAUGUGAUUAUCUCAUAAGCUGCACGUUUUAUGGGUCUGAAUUUGGAAGGAGAGGGCUUAAUGUAGCACAUGAGCAGUUUUCCUUGUAAAGUAUGCGCAAGGUAUUGAGCAAGAUCAACGCCCUGUUAUAAAAAAAUGAUGGAAGAAAACUGUAACGGGUUUAAAAAAGAAGCAAGAAAAUAUUUAGUUUGAAAAAGUAUCAGUGGUUACUUCUUGUUGUAAAUGGUAUAGUUCCACGGUUGAAUACUGAAUUAGCUUCUCUGCUUCAAUAUCCAUAGCAGUAGCACAUAAAUAUCCAGUUCUAUCAAUGAGUGAAAUUGCAAUGAGAGCUCUGCAACGAAGAAAUAGGCAGGUUUGCAGUUAGAAAUUGGAAGCGAUUAAAGUUGGUGAUGAAAGGAAGCAAGAGAAGUUAAUAAUUAUGUUUACCUAGGAACUAAAUCUACGUUAGAGUGGCAGUGUUGACAUGUAACAGGCAAAUUGCUUGCAAUUUUGCUUGGAUAGUAACAAAGGGGACAAGCUAUAUAAGUUAAGUUAUGAUGUACAUAAUCCAGCUCAACAACACCUUGAAUCCAGGCAGUCAUUGGUUUCUUUGAGAGAGAAGAAAAGGUAGAAGAAAGAGUCAAGGCUAAAAAAAAAGGAAAAAGCUGUGGAAGUGAAUGUAAAGGACAGUAUAUGUAAAUGUAAAUAUUGAAAUAGGAACAUUACCUAUUGAAGAACGGAAGCAAUAUGAGUGAUUCGAUUAUGGUUUACAGGAGGAAGAAGUAUACGUGGGUUAGUGUAACUGCUCUCAUUAAGCAUUCGUGCUAGGAUAUCGGCAUGGUAAUGAUGCCUAUGAUAAAAGCGAAAUAUUUAAGUUGUUAUAUAAUAAAGGAGAUAAUAACGCAGAAAGUGGUUAAAACGUUCUACCAGGAUUUUAAGUUGAUCGCCUGUUGAGCGGUCGGAGCUACCAAAAUCACCCAGGAAUGGUGAGUUGAGAGACUCAAAUCUGAUAUGUUUGGCAAGAAUAGGGUAAAAGUUAUAUAGGUGACAGAGAAUUUUUUUUGGAAAUGAUAGAAGUUUAGAAGACUCUUUAAAUAAUAAAGGUGAAGUAAGUGAGCACAAUGAUUUGUUGUAGCUUUGACUCUUAUGGCGAUGAUAAUUGGAAAAGGGUCUUCUGCUAAUGCAAUAGCAGGGCCAUAAUUUUCUUCAAACUCAUCUUGCAAAGUUAAUAUCAAAGGUUUCAUGCUGUGGAAUGAAUAACAAUAGAAUACGUUAUUGGAAAUUUGCACGAUUUUGAAAGAACGAAAGUGAAAAUUAGAUUGAUAAGUAAAUGUUUUACUCUUGAUUAGCAAUCACAUAGUCUCGAGCUACACGUGGUGUUCCUUGACCAGGGACAAUGUUGUUAGGUAGAGCAUGGAGUAUAACUCCCAUGACAGCUUAGGAAAACGGAAGAAGCGAAUAUAUUAAGAUUAUAAAAAAAUGUCAAGUAAGUAAGAUGCGGGGAAAAACAAGCAGAGGAUAAUGAUGAACUUACUUAUUAAUUGUUCGGUAUCAGCAAUUACGUCCAGCAUAGUAAAUGGAUAUAACUGAAAAUGCGAAGGGAGAGAGGGAUAAUCGAGCUGUUGAAUUUGAUGAAUUGAUGUAGCUUCAGUAACAAUCCAGUAAAAUGGAUAUUUGGUAGGAGGAGAAGCAUUGUGUAGUUGGUGAACAGAGGCUCCAGAAAUGUAGUAGCUUUUAAAUAGCAGCAGUAAUCCAGUAAGGCGAGCAAUCAUGUUUCCGAUAGCAUGCAUACUAACUUUCACACCCUGAUAUUAAGAAUUGUUAAAGGUGAUUAGUCCAUAACUAAAUAGUCAUGAGUUAAAAAUGGAAUUAAGCAUGUGUUACCUGCGAAUCAGCAAGCACAAAAGUGCAAAAGUUUUGUUGGAAGUGCGAAUUGUUUUUAAUAUGUCUAGCUUCUAUAACCUGGAGAGCAACUAUCCAGUUUGAUGAAUGCGGACGAACAGCGGACAGAGGGAUUACUACAGGGUGCAUUGUAGGAUACUCCAUAAUAGAAAUAUAAAAGAAUUAAAUGGGUGAAGUAUAAUCUAUACGAGUUAAAAGGGUUGCAGAAAAGAUAGAAUUGGAAUAGCAGGAAUGGAUAUGGUAAGAAGGAGAAGGAGAAGGAAGAUGUUGAUGUUAAAAGUAGAAUCAGAGGAAGGAAAGUAUUGUAGAUUGCUGUUUUGUCCUUGUAUGUUUUGGUGGAAUGCAUACAAAAGUGAAAUGGCUAGGUACUUAAGACACUGUGGUAAAUUUAUGUUUGAAACAUAAAAGUAUAGAAUUUCAAAAGCUGAUAUGCAUGCUGUCAUUUUCGUCCAAAGGUAAAGGUGUAGAGCUGUAGCAAGGACCAUUAUUCGUGAUAAAGUGUUCAGAAUCUGAAACGUUCACGUGUAUUCAUUCUUAGGUAGUGAAAAGUACAAAAUGUUGAUGAUAGGAAUAUCUUCAGAGAUUCAGUAAAUAUUUUGGACGUUUGCUGUAAAUUUUUUGCGAAGGCCUGACAAUUAUUGGAGCAUUUUAAUAUCGGUAUUGAUAAGUUAUAAAUUUAGUAUUCACUUAAGCAUUUGGAAUAAAGGAGCUGCAUAAUUAAUGGCGCACUUAUGUAAUGAGGUGGAAUAAAACUGAGCAGUGUUAUUGGAAGGAAAAAUGUUCUAGUACAUCAAUGGAAGCAUUUAAAAAGCCGCAGAGGCAUGAUUAGAUGACUUAAAAGAGGUUAAUUACAGCUUUAAGCAUCUGAAUAAAUGCCGAAAGUGUAAUACCAUGGAAAUAGUUUUUCAACUCCAUUAUAAUCAAAUAUUAAAACAGCAAAUGUGGUCUGUGAUUCUGGAAUAAACACAAGAGUGUCGUUAUGCUGCAAUUGAUGUUGAAGAGCGAAGCUUCUCCAGUUCUUUUUCAGGUGUUUCCCUCUGAUACCAAUCUCUGUAAUGUUAUUGCCAGUUUUGAUAAGCACGGUGGGAGUUCUUUCACUGUUGAAGAAGUGAGCAGUGAAUCUUGGAAUUUUCUAAUAAUUGUUAAGAAAAGUUAGAAUGGAAAACGGACAUAUAAAAAAAGGCUAAAGAAAAUAGAUGAAUGUGCAUAUAAUAAUAACUUACCAUUGAAUUUGGCGUUGCUGAAUGGAAAAUUUGAUAAAAACAAUGGAAAUCAGUUAUGUUUUGAGAAAAGUCUGGGUUUAAUGAUGAAGUGACAUCAUGGCGGUUAACUGAUAAGGAUGUGGUAGCUGAGGCCAUUAAACAGAUAAUACAUUAUAAAUAAUGAUAAUUGAAAUGAAUAUAGGAAAUGGAGGAGAACAUAUACAGGCCUUGCGUAUAGGUAGCGUUAUUCUCGAAAAUAUUUGGAAGUGGAACUGUCCAGGAUAAGUAAACUUGUUGUUGGAGUUCAGAGAAAUGAAUAACGUCGAAAAUAAGAUUUCCAGCAUGGCGAACCAUCAACAUAUCAUGUGUGUUAAUGAUAUUGUCAUGGCAAUAGUCAUCCCAUCCUUCUUCAAAGCAGCCAUUGGCAAUUGUGAGUGGCCAUUUUUGUAUUCCAUAUCUGAGGAUGAUUGUGUUCUUUUCAUGCUGAUGAAGUAAGAGUUGAAACUGGGCGGGAAAAAUCUGGAAUUGGUUGAUGGAGCAAUUAAAAGUAAGUAGACUAAUAAGAAUAUAUUAUAUUUGGAUAGUCUGAACGUUUUUUUUUCAUAAGGAAAGAAAAGGUUCACCUGUCCUCUAUGGCAACAUUUGAAGAGAAAGCAGCAAGGGGUUAAGUUGCUGGUUGGUUGGUGGGAAGCUGAGGGUGGAUCAAACAUAUUUUGUGCUAUGAAAGUGGCAGAAGAAGGAGAAGAUAAUAGGAGGAAAAGUUGGUAUGAUGCUAUUAAUAUAGACACCAAAAAUGCUGGUAAAUUUUGGAAUUAAAAGGAAAUAAGAAACAGUAGAGAUGGGUGCUUGUAGACAGCUGCAGCUUUUUUGUUUGAGGUGUAUGGUAUUGAAUUUUGGUACAUCACGUGUUGAAUAAAGGACUGACUAUAUAAAUAUAUUUAACGGAAAGAAGGAGAAAGUUUUUAUUAGUAUUGUUAACGCUUGGCGAUGUAUUUUUAUUAGUAUUUUUAUGGUGAUGAGAUUAGAUGCUUCUAACUUUUGGUGAUAGCUGGGUUAUGGUUAUUAGAUUGGACGGUUGUAGCCCUUCCUGAUUGGAGAUAUUUUUGCUUAAACUGGAUGAAUUUAUUGUUGCUUUUAUUUAUACUACAAAUUACAUAGCUUGAUCUGCUUUAUUUUACAUUUAAUAAAAGGACCCCUGCUGAUUUCAUAAUUUUGUUGUUUAAUAAAUAGUCGUAUAUCUUGGGAGAAGAGGAUCUCAGAGGAAGUCAGUGGCAAUGGUGUUGGCGAUGUAUGUAUCUUGUUAGCAGUCCAUGCAAUUGUUUGUUGUUACAUUUGCAUAACUGUGUACAAACAUGAACAUAAGUUGGCUGUACUUUGCAGGAUUUCAAGGGCUAGGGGUUCAAGAUAAUGGGUGGAUGUGAUAAGCAGGGUUUUGUCAUGAAAUAGAGAGGUUUGCCUCUUGGGUGUGUGUGUCUCUUGCUUCGUAGAGGUUAGAAUCUCCAUGAGGGAAAAAAUGAUGUAAUAGGCAUUAUUGCAAUUUGCAGUUACUUGAUGAACUGUAUAUUUAACUUGAUUAGGGACCCUAUGGUUUCGUGAUUAUGGGAGGAGAAAUAGCGAGCGCAGCAGCAAAUGUGCUGGCGGAUGUAUUGCUAGCGUUGAUCUCUCUGUGCUGAAUGUUGUCAUUGUUAAGAAAGGUGAGAAUGACCUGGCUGGACUCAUUGAUAUUGAGAAGCCAAGAAUGAGAGGUUUACAAAAGGCUUCGAAAAUUAGAAAGCUCUUCAAUGUGUUAAAAUAAGGGGAUCUGAGAAAGUAUGUCAAUACACACAGGAGGACGGUCACAAUAAAGGUUGAUGAGUUUUUGAUUUACUGUUAUUCUUUACUGCAUUUGUUCCUUUUCCAAGUCGAGAGCAGAAGCACUCUAGCGCGGAUUGUUGCUGAGUUUGUAUCAAUGUUUAUAUCAUUAAGUAAAAAGAAUAGCAAAGCUCGUAAGAUGCAGAGGUUGGUUGCUUCAUUGAUAUUCCAGAGCAAGAGAGCAAUAAUUGCUCAGAAAAAGAAGAGAAUUGCAAAGGUUAAGUCUGAAGGAGCCGAGUAUCAGAAGCUUCUUGCUAGCAGGCUAAAGGAGCAGGGUGAGAGAAGAAGUGAGAGUUUGGUUAAGAAGAGGUCAAGGUUAGUUGGAGGGUUGAAGACCUCUAUUGUUGCUUAAGUUAUGACCAUACUUUUCAUGUUCAUGUGUGCGAUUUGUAUGCUUCAUUUCUAUGCCUACGUUUGAGAAAUAUUUGCCUAAUACUUUCUUUUUUUUCCCUUGUAAUUGAUUUAAGUUUUGGAAGAAGGUUCCGUGAAACAGAGUGCAGCAUACUGUUUUUGUUUAUCUGAAAAUUCGAAUUGCAGCAACCUAGGAGAUAUCAGUGGUGAUUAGAUAAGCUGUUGCUAUAAGCAAUAGAAGCCGCAAUCUGAAUGAAUGAGAAAGUUUUAGAAAGCAGCACCGGAAUAAGUAGGCUUGUAUACAACUAAUAAUAAAUAAAGUUGACUAUUGAGGACAGCAGAUGCGUCGAAAGUUGCUGGUUCAUUAAUACAUACGUACAAAAGAAGAGGGUUCAUGAAAAAAUCAACGACCCUUGUAAGAAACUUGCCAAAAUGUAGGAGUGCAAACCAUUGGUAAGGCGCAUCUAUCUUAGGAAGACAAAAAAUGAAUAACUCUACUCUAGGUUAGUUUCGAUUUCUUGGCAGAGCUGGUGGGUUCAUCUGGAGAGUUGCCUGCGUUGAGCUUGUCUAAUUCAUCAAAUUUUUCAGAAAGGCGCAUGUGAGUCUUUGAAGGCGCAGGAUUUUGCUCUGGAGCAAGUUACAUAACAAAGAAUUGGUUAAGAAAUAGCAAGUAAAUAACAGUACAUGAAAAGAGAGCAUACGUAAUUAAAGCGUAAAAGGGUAAACAUAGAACAAACUUAAGUAGUCUUAAAGCUAGUGAGCAUAAUGCAAGUGUCUUGCUCUGUACGAGCACUAGGAAUAAGGUUAGGACAGAAUAGGUAUUAAAAACAUGAGAUGAACUUGCAUAAAUAAAAAGGUUUCAUUUUUCUACAGGACGUUGGCACAUAAAAACUAAGAAAGAAUAUCAUUUUUUAUUGAAUGCAUGCUGCACAAAAUACUUGAGGCAAAUAAAUGGAAGAAGAAGGCAAAAUUUGGAACUGAUAUCGCAAAUUGAAUAGAAGGUGAAACGGCCUAAAAAACAACAGAGUUAAGAGUUUGGACAAAUCUACACGGUUGUGGUUAGGGGUGAGCAUCGAAUUCGAAUUCGGUAAUUCGGUAGUUGAAAUCGGUAAGUUUCGGUAAAUGGUUCUGGAAAUAUUCGACCUAAUUCGCAUUCGAAUUAGAGACUACCGAAUUCGAAUUCAACCCGAAUUCAAUUCGGUAAACCAAAAAAAUACCGAAUUACCGAAUUCCAGAAAACUGCUUCUUCGGCCCAUUUUUCAUCAGCAAAUAGCAAUGCUAUUGAACUGAGCCACAACUUACAAAUUGUUCGAAUGUAACUGAUCACAAAUCACUCCAGAAAUUCGAAAUCAAAACAACACACAAUUCACAUUGAUCAUUAAAAUUCAGAAAUCAUAAACAAAUUCACAAACAAAUUACACUGAUCCACAAACAAAUCACAAAUGACAAACAAAUCCAGACAUCACAAAUCAGAAAUCACAAGUCCAGAAAUCACACUGUUGCCCUGGUGCUACAAAUCAGAAAUUCCACUGAUCCACAAUCAUAAAUCAAUCUAGAAAUCAUAAUGAAACAAAAAUAAAAGUCUAAAUUAACUUGUCCAAAAAUCACAAUCCACAUUCCACAAUCUAGAAAGCCACAAAGCCACAAACUGCAAUCCACAAUCCAGAAACUGCAAUCCAGAAACUGCAACUUCAGCCACAAGAAGAGUUGCAAUACAGAAACUCCAAUCCACAAUCCACAAUCCACAAUCCAGAAACUGCAAUCCACAAUCCAGAGUCCAGAAAGCCACAAGAAGAGUUGCAAUACAGAAAGCCAAUUACGCUGAAACUGCAACUUGCAACAAGAGUUGGUUCAACCCUCAAAAUGCAAACUUUAGCAUUUGUGACCUCUCAAAGGUCAAUUAUAGUUGGUUCAGUUCCAGUCUUCAGCAACUCUGCAAGAACAAAUAAAAUUCAUGAAGUAUCAUAAAGGCAAUUAUUAGAAAGAAAGAAAUACUUCAAAUUCUGCAAUAAAAAUUUUGAUAGCUUACCAGAUUCGAAGGCUUCAAGCUCUUCCAGAUUUUCUUCUACAUUUAAUUCUGUCUUGGAGGACCGAAGCCAAUCUUGAGCACAUAUUAAACCUUGCACAAUUCUAGGAGUCAAAGAACUCCUAAAUGUAUCAAGAACACGACCUCCGGUACUAAAAGCAGAUUCAGAGGCCACGGUAGAAAUUGGGACUGCUAACACAUCACGAGCAACUUUGGAAAGGAUUGGGAAUCUAAGGCUAUUGGCCUUCCACCAUAACAAGAUAUCAAAUCUCUCAUCAUCUUCCUCACAAUCCUCAUUCAAAUACUUCUCUAAUUCAGAUUUUGCAUCCCUACCCCCAAGUUCCAUUUUUCUCUUCUUAAACUCCAACUUGUACCUAUCAGUGAUUGUUUUAGAGGCAUUCCCAUGUCCAUGAAAUGUAAUUUUACUCGUUGGAGAAUCACUUGAAAGUGAAGAAGCAUGAGAGGCAGGUGUGUUGAGCAUCUUGUAUUCAUUAAACAGCUCAAACAUUGCAUCUUUUGCAAGGCCAGCUAUUGUUGUACCAUCGGACUCACCAUACAUUUGACAAACCACAAAUUCAAGGUAUUCAAGUUUAGUUCGAGGAUCAAGAAUGGAGGAAAUAAAAAUCAGCAUAUUCAUCUUUUCAAUCUUUCCCCAAUACUUAUCAUAUUUCUCCUUCAUUGAUCUUGCCAUUGAACUCAAUUCAUCAUUAUCACUUGCUGUCAUUUCAAUUAAAAUGCCAUGAAUGUGACUAAUAUCAGUGAAAAAAUUAUUUGAAGUCACAUAUUUGAAACCGGAAACCUUCACAGUUAGCUGAUAAAAGUUUUCCAAAAAAAUCACCAAGAAUCUAGCUUUUGUCCAAUCAGAUUUUGUUGGCAGAUUUUCUAACUCUUGAAGCAUAUAAGGAUCCUGCUCCUCAAACCUCUCAAAAGCUCGCUCAAACCUUUGAGCUGUGUCUAGCAUUAGAUAUGUAGAAUUCCACCUAGUAGGUACAUCUAAACAGAGCAAUCUUUUGCAUUCAAUUUUUUCAAUUUCAACACACUCCUUGAAUUUUUUCAAUCUAGAAGGUGACUGUCUAACAUAUCUAACUGCUGCCCUGAUACAAUCAACUGACUCCCCAAGUUUUUUGAUGCCAUCAUUAACAAUUAGAUUCACUAUGUGAGCUACACACCUCACAUGAGUCCAUUUCUCCCCUAACACAGCUUUUCCCCAAUUUUGAAGCUUUCCUCGUAAAUACUGGACAGCUACAUCAUUGGAACUUGCAUUGUCAACUGUGACAGUUAGGAUAUCAUCAACUCCCCAUUCUAGUAGACACUUUUCUAUGGCCUUACCAACUUCAGUUCCCUUGUGACUAGCAAUAGGACAGAAAUUUAGGAUCUUUUUGUUCAGUUUCCAAUCAUUAUCUAUGAAAUGGGCAGUGAGGCACAUAUAGUUUAUCCUUUGAAUGGAUGUCCAAGAAUCUGUGGUUAAACAAAUUCUGCCACUGUUAUUCUUCAAGAGUUGUUUCAACUUAGUUUUUUCAUAUAAAUACAGCUGAUAGCAAUCUCUAGAAAUAGUCCAUCUCGAAGGAAUUUUAAAUGAUGGACAAGCAGUCCGCAUCAUAUAUUGAAAGUCUCUACCCUCUACAUGUUUAAAUGGCAACUCAUCAACAAUUACCAUAUAAGCUAAGCUUUUUCUAAUGGCUUCCGCAUCAAAUUUCCAACUUAUGAGUGCCCCUUUAACCUCUCCCGCUAAGGUUUCAGUUUCACCCAAACACAAAGUAGCCUGGCCAGUGUGCUUAUUUUUAGGAUUUAGAGGACAUUUAGCUACAUGAGUAUUAAGGGGAGUCGUACCAUGACUUUUGGGAUCCGCAGCUAUGUCCUUGUCACAGUACUUGCAAAUUGCAUGACGAACUCCAUUCACAUGCUUUACAUGAAAAUGAUCCCAAGCUUUGGACCUCUUCUUGUACUCUCAUCUUUUCUUGGCAAAACCAGAUUCUUCGCAGCUUUGUGUAGUAGGACUAGGAGGAAGAGUUCCAGAUGAUCCUUCUUGUUCCAGCUCAUUGCAACUUGGAUUACUCUCACCAUCAGUAGUAGACAUAGCUUCAGUGUGCCAGCACUUGAAACCUUUGACCAGAACAAGGACACAACACAAAGAUUUCACAAGUCAGAAAAGGUAUAUAAUACUUUUUUCUCACUGACCUCAGUAGGUCUAAUUUCAUAUCCAAUCCAAGAUAUUUUGAGAAAAUUUGCUCAUAGCUUCUAAAGAAUAAUACGACCCUGAAAUCUAUUAUUCACAUAUUCAAAGUGGAAAAGUAGGAAUAAUCUCUAAAAGUAUACUAAUCCAUCAAAAUUUAUGUGUUCAUCUUAAACCUAUUAGAUAAAUAUGUAAUACUACAUGAUUCUGAACCAUCAUUGGUUUCAUGCAUCAGAUGAGUUCAGUAAGCUAAAACCAGAACAAAGUUUUAGACAUUAAUCAACAUACUCAACCAGAACUGCACAACGACCAUAGCUCAGAACUACUUUGUGAAAUUGCCUGUCGCUAAGGUUCAAUGAUUAAUCCGACACAAUAGUGGAGCAUCAGCCAGGAAGAAAAAGCCAUAAAAAAUCAGUUCAAUAGAACAAAAGGAACAGCCAGGAAGAAUAAUUCGAUACAAAGGUAAAUUUACACGCAGAAUUCAUUUGUUAGUUUCCAUUUUAAUAGAGGAAAAAAUAGCAAAAUGGACAAAACAGGCCGAGCCCCAAAAGAAAUAUGUGAGAAAGAGAGAGAGGGAGAGGAGACAAACCCUAAAUCUUGGAACGAAUGCUAAGGAGACUGGAGACUGGAGACUGGAGGAGGCUGGACUGCUGGAGGAGUGAGUAUGGAGACUGGAGAGAACCGGCUGGAGGAGGCUUCUGUAGUUGAGGAGAGGAAAGGAGAAGCUGUCAAACUGAGAAAGUAUCUUCAGUUGAGGAGAGAAGAAACUCAGAAACAGGCAAACAGCUUGGCUUAGACUUCAGUGGGCGACGGCGCAAAGGAACGAGACUACGAGAGGAAGAGGAGAGCAGAAAUAGUGAAAUUAGAACGAAUGCUAAUUUAGGGUAUUGAAAGUCUGAAAUUGGAACAUCCGACAAAAGCUUGAGGUAUAAUAAUAUUCGGAAUUUCGAAUUUGAAAACGGUAGUAUUUUACCGUUUUACCGAAUUAAAUUCGAAUUCGGUAAAUCCGAAUUCAAGAACCCCAAAACCAAAUUCGACCCUAAUUCGAUUCUUACUAAUUCGAUACCACCGAUUUACCGACCUAAUUACCGAAUUCGAAUUACCAAAUUGAAAUCGAUUUCGGUCGGUAAUUCGGUAAUUACCGUAAUUGCUCACCCCUAGUUGUGGUAGUCAUUUUUUGCUAACUGUGUAAGAGGAUCUGUUGCACUGAACAAAUGUAAUUUGGGAGCAAGGACUUUUUGGAACUCAAUACACCAGUGAAAGUAAGCACAAAAAGAAAUUCAAUAUUGCAGUGAGGGUAAUCACAGCAUACAAAUUUGUGGUUCUGCUGCAAAACUCAGAUGUACAUGAGUAAUUUUAACAGCAAGUGUUAACGACACUUGUAAAUCCAACCACACCAUUCUAUGCAUGCUCUAAAUAGAUAGAUACAACAUCUGCAAUGACAAAGCAUAUAUAUUUUAAGCACAACUGAAAUAGGAUUUCCCACUAUCAUAUAUAACUUCAAUGGAUAAUCAUUUGUGUUAAGAAGGCAAUAGUAAAGACAAAAAGGAAAAGCAAGAAAUAAUACGUAUAGCUACUCCGUGAAAACCAAUGAACAGAAUAUAACUUCAAAAUUAAUUUAGAGCUGAGCUGCAAAGAUACUUGGGGGGAAAAAAGAACGUAACAUUAAAAAGUUAACGUGGAUCUAUUAUUGUGGACCUUUCCUGCGUUUUUCCUGAAUUUAUUAAAUAGAAAUCGAAACAUGACAUAAAUGCAAAAUAAGACUAUUAGUAGCAGCAAAACUAAAUAAUUAAACAGGAAGUAAUUGAAUAAGAAAUUAAAAUUAAGUUCAGAGUAUGCGUGCGCUUACCUGUAUCAGCUAGUUCCAGUGUUGGGGACUGGUCAUUAAGCAGUGGCAAAUCAUUUUUUGUCUCGCUUACUACCUGAACUGAACUGGUAGCAUGAUCAGCUUCAUAGUAAUAUAUAACUGUGUAACGUUGCCUAGCGUCUGCUAGCUGUGCUUGGAUUGGUUUUAUAUGAAUCAGAAAAGUCUUUGAUUUCAGUUGUUCAUGAACAAGGUCAAGAGGGAGCUCAACAUUCUGAGAACGAGAGGAAAAAAAUAUCAGUAAUGUUGUAAUAGGUCGGUCAACAACUUUUUGAGACAAAAUAAAACCUCAUUAAAAUGCUGCAUUGCUUCAAUGGAGGUGAAUGUUAAAAGCUUCUCAGCUAGUUCUCCAAAUAUGGAAGCUGGUAUAGCUCCACUGUCAUCAACUAAAUCAACAUCAAAGCAACAUCUGGAAGUAUAAUAAAUACAGAGAGAAUUAGUAUUUUGGGAAAUUUAUUAUUAUAUAUGAUCAAGGAAGAUUCACACAGUUAUGACUUAUGAACUAUCAUCUUGGUACAGCUGGUUGCUUCUCCUAGCACGAGUUGCAAGUAAAUUCAACUUCAUAAUCUGCUGCUGUUGCUCGAUAGCAAUUCUUACAACUCAUAUACUAGUAUUUUUGGAAUAUGUGUUCAAAGUAAAAGCGAGCUCUCACCCAAGUUGUCUGCAAUAUUAAUAAUGAUAAGCAAAAAAAUGUAAAUAUGGCAACAGCAAAUUGUAAAGGGAAAAUGGGAAAGAGUGUUUUAAUACCUUCUGUGAUGGGUUAACAUUGCAAAUUAAGGUAGCUUUCUGAUCAACUCUGAGAGAAAUUGCAGGAUUAUACUUCAUGUAGUCUCUUUUAUCAAGAACAUCUGCAAUCAUUUUAGAAUUUCUAAGUGCCUUGUACAAGGAGAAAAAUACAGAGAAGGUGUGAGAAGGGAAAAUCAUCUGAAGUUGAAGUUUUGAGAUAGAAACAGAUUAUUGGAGUACAAUAUACCAGUUCUUCAGUUCUCUUGCUUCCUGUACAGGCGGAUCAACAAGUAUGACAGAAUCAAACCAAGUACCCAAUGCAACACCUAUAGAAAAGCAUCAAUGUUAUGACAACUGAUUCUGUGAAAUAUAUAUAUAAGAAGGCGAGAAAAAAAAUAUUUCAAUGUAUAAAAGCAAAAAGUACCAUUGUAAUUAUUGACUUUAAUUCGACGUGCAAUAAUGACAGGAUAGCUGUGGAGGUUAGACAGUAGCUGUUGUCCUUCAUUAGUAAGAAAGUCAUCCCAUAAAGACAGCAAUACGGUUUGACAUCUGUAAUGAUUAUUAAUAUAAGUAAUAAGUAGGUAAUAACUUACUUUAGAUUUGCAGUUAAGAUAAGAAAUGAGAUACUCACUCUUCAUCAAGAACGACAAACUUUUGAACAUUUAAUUCUUUUGUGUUUCUAUUCAAUGUCUUCCUGUCUAAUGCAGCAAUCACAACGCCUAGCACAUUUGUAAAGAGAGAACCAGCAUCAUGGAAGAAGCACUAAUAACAGUGUAAGUACAGCAAUAUUAAUUGGUCGAGAGAGUUACCAACUGAUUUAUUCCUGUCAUCCAUGUGAUGCACCAAAUCAGUAAAUUUUGUAUAGUUAAACUUCACAGGCAUGAUUUCAUUGGCAUCAUCAUUUAUUUCUUGAAUAACAGUUUUAGUGCUGAUCACCCAUUAGAUAGUGAGCUCAGUUGUCUGAAAUUUUGCUGGGAUAGGCUUCACUUCAGCAUUUGUGAUCUUGUAUUUUUUGUAAACAUGUAAGAGCGGACUCAUUUUAGGAAUAUCAGCAUUGAAGAUUAUUGCUUCUACUUUUGAUCCCUGGAACAUAGAAGCAGCAAGUAUAGCAUUAGCUAAAAAACAAGAAAUUUUGUUAUUACAACCAUAGGAAAGAGAGCGGGCACAAAGGCGCACUAACCUCUGUAUCAUAGAAGAUAAAUUUUUAUUUUUUGUUGGUGUUCACUUUGAGUCAGUGAUCUGUUGUUUUUCCUGAACAGUGAUGAUGCAACUCUAAUUUUUCAUGAAAGGGACAAUGUCUCGGAUAGGCAGCAAGUUAGUCAUUCUGUAUGAAAAUCAAAAUGAACAUAACUAAGUAUUAGUACACAGGUUAAGUGUAAGAGUAUAUUCAUUAAAGAAAGAUAAAUAUGUAUGUGUACCUCAUUCAAAAAUAUACUUGAAUCAGAUAGAAUCUUGAAAUUAGACAGAAUCGUUACUGCUGAGUCAAAUGAAAGAUUUCAUUAAAGACAACGUUCCUAGUUUUGCAGUUAAUCUUUUUCUCAUCAAAAGUUCCAGGAAUAAGAAGAACUUUAAGGUGAGCAGCAGUUCUAGCUCUAGAAAGUGCAACGUAAAGCUGUCCGUGGAAAAAAACAGGUUCACGCAAGUAAAGACCCACAUAGUCAAGAGUUUGUCCCUAUGCCUUAUUAAUGGUUAAAGCAAAACAGAGGCGGAUAGGAAAUUGAGUUCUUAUGAACGGAAUCCCAUUUCUUUCAUUGUCAGAGGUCUGAAGAGGUAUUUUUGGGAUGAAGACUGUUUCCCAGCGUGAAUGCCAAAAAUAAUUUCUGCAGAAAUGAUAUUCAAGCUAAACUCUCUACAUAUUAACCUUGUCCCAUUACACAAUCCUUCAUUAGGAUUUAAAUUCCUUAAAAGCAUAAUAGGACAGUUUUCUUUUAGCAGCAACUUAUGAGGAGGAAGUCCUUUUGGAUUCUGCGAAUUUAGAAAAUCUUCAUAGUCACCUUGGUGCUGCUGCUCAACAGUCCGAUCUGAACUUAUAUAAAUUUGAACAUUUUCAUGAAAUUUGUUUAUCAAUAGCUCAUUUAGCUCAUCGACUGAGCUAUUUUUGGGAGUAAGGAUGCAUCUAUUUAUCAUCCUAUAAGGAUCUUUAGAAUACAGCUGCAAAUCUGGGAAAACACUCUCAACUAACCUGUUUAGAGUUAUAAGUAGCUAUAAUCAAUGAAAGACAAGGUUUAAAAAAAAGAAUCAGCUAGAUAAAGUAUAAUUGUAUGUAGUUGUUAACCUAUUUAAAGAUUGAUCUUUAUCAUAAUAAGAAAUAACUAUAUCAGGUGAUAAAGCGAUUUCGCCGUUUGCAUCUACAGGCUCUCUUCCCUCGCCUAUUCUUAAUAAAAACUGAGAGAAAGCAUGAUCUAACAUGGCUCUCAUAUUCUGCGUGAGUUUCAGUUUGUGUAACUUAGACCAGAGAACAGAGUUAGGAAAGCUUGAUUCUAUGAGGACAUGCUUUGUUGCUCGCUCAAUAACCGACAAAGUUUGCCGAAAAUCUCCACAAAAAAUUACAACUUUUCCUCCAAAAGGCAAAUUAGAAUCCAUUAUAUCUUUAAGUAGAUCAUCAAAUGCCUAAAUCGUUUCUCGCUUAGCCAUCGAUGCUUCAUCCCAAAGGAUAAGUUUACACUCUAAAAGCAAUUUGGCAAUACUGCUUUGUUUGCUAAGUUGACAAGCUUUAUUCUUUGAAAAGUCCAAUGGUAUCUUAAAUCUUGAGUGCGCUGUUCGUCCUCCAGGAAGAAUAGAAGCUGCAAUGCCAGAAGUGGCUACAGCAAUGGCAAUGUAACCCUGCGAUCUAAAUGUAGCAAGCAGCGAUCGGUAUAAGAAUGUUUUACCAGUCCCUCCUGGACCAUCAAUAAAAAAAGCUUCACCCUGAGCAGAAAAAUAUGCUGCAAGAAUCAGGUCGUAAGCAUUUUUCUAUUCAGAGUUCAAUUUGAGAGAGAGUAAGAGAUCCUCUGGAGCAACAUGUAAACCCCUUUCGCUUUCGAUCUCCUGUGUCAAUCGUUCAUGAAAAGGAGAAUGGAAAUCAUUUGAAGUUAAUUGGUAAUCAGUUAUUCUUUUUCCUAUUUGCUCCAAUGAUCUGUUAAUGUCUUGUAACGCUCUUGUUGUGGUCUCUGAAGGAGUAAGGACAGAAAAUGAGCAUUGGUGCUGGUAAUCUGUUAAGAGGUCACGGUGAAAUUUUUCCCACAGGAGCUGAGGAUUUACUGGAGAACAAUGAACAAGCAGAGUGGCAAAUAGCAAUCUUAAGGAAGAUGGCAUCUGGAAGGCCACGGCUUCUUGGAGUGUAUCAUCUAUGUAAGUAUCAGAUUGCAAAAGUCCUAAUGCUAAAGCAGCUCCUCUAAAGGAAUUCAGCUUUUGAUCAGCAACUGUCAAAAUAUCAUCAAAAGAAGUUGGCCCAUGAACAUGAUUUAGAAGAAGUCUCAAGUAGUAUCUUUCUCCAUUUGCUGGACUAACAGUAACCAUUCUACCUAUCACAUUUCGACGCUUCCUCAGCCCAUUUUUUAUAUUUAGGAAACCAAACAAAAAAUUGAGGAAAAUCCUUGUAAAGACAUUUAAGGUUCUGUGCAACCACAUUUGUUUUGUUUAUAUGGAAAAAUUCAGUUAACAUGGUUUUUGAAAAAUCAACUUUGCUCAAUAAUUGCAACAGAUCAGAGUUUUUGUCGAAAGAAAUAAACUAUUGGUCUGGAAGAUGGAUCUGAAGAGUAUAGACCGCUGGAGUUAUUUCACUUAAGCGGAAUUCAAAAAUGCGCCAAAAUGCCUCAGGAGAUGAAAUCCAUCUACCUUGCUGAAAUUCCUUUAUUUCAUCAGUGUCAUCAGGGGCAUGAUGCGAAACGACCUUAAAAUUGAUUGAGUCAUGGCCUUUGAAAACAUACUUAUACAUGUACUUCACCAAUUUAACAGUCGAGCAAAUUUCUACAUUGAUAUGGCAGUCAAAUGUAGCUAACAGAUAGGGACUAUAAGACACAACCCAUAUGUUAUCAAAAGUAUGCCUUCGGAUUGUGAUUUUUCUUCUAUCAUCCCUCCUUCUGUAUUGUGGAUAACUAUCUUCAGCAUGAGUCGUUUGGCUACAAAAACUCUUUGGAUAGUGAUUUUUACAACGACCAUCCUUCAUACAAGGGCAAGUUCUAUCCAUAUCACCACAAGGACCAUGAAUCAUAUGCUUCACAACAAGUGAAUAUAGAUGAGGAUGCUUAGAACGAUCAGGUAUUUUAGCACAGACCACUCUAUCAUAUGACUCUGGAUUUAGGAGCUUGUAUUCAAGCUUCAAAAUUAGUAGCAUAUGCGUAUGUGGGAAUCCACAUUUUUGGAACUCAAUCACAUAAACAUACGCUGCAACUUCUCCAAAGAUUUGUUUGUUCAAAACUUCUGAUUUAAGCAAUUCAAACUUGGCUCUAAAGACUCUAGCCAGAAGGUCCGGUCUGUCCUGAGGUUUUCAUGGUACUUUAGAUUAUCCUGAAUUUCCUUCCAUGCUGGGUUGCAGGUCAUAGUAAAAAAGAUAUCCGAUUUGCCAUAUUUUUGCACAAGGGACAUUGCAUCAAGAUAUUGACGUCUCAUGUCCCUUGGUCUACCUAUAAAGGAAGCUGGUAAUAUGGUUCUACGGCCAACUUUAGAAGCAUUGGUUUGGCCUAUUGAAAUACUGUCUAGGACUCCUUGAAGAACCUCAGAACGAAUGUUGUUCUGUCGGUUUCAAUGAAAGUCAAGCCUAGACGUUUCAAUCUUAACAUAACCAUCUACUGCAUACUGUUGUAAUAGUCUAAGUGAGUGCAGUAACAUUGAUUCAUCAUCAUCUCUGAUCUGAAAUCUGUAACAAUAGUAUUCCCUAGCUGACACCGUGUCUUCUUUAUUUUUUGAACAAUCAGCAGCUAGAGAAAAAUGAUGAGUAGUUAUUUAGGCUGAUGAUAUCUUAUAAUGUAAGAAGAAUGGGUAAAAGCAAUUGGGUAGAAGCGGCAACAAAUAACUUGCCUCUUUGUUCACGAUCCAAUAAACUUGAUGCAGAAUCGACCGAAGAAGGAUGAAUGUUGAUAUCUUCCUCACAGGAAUCCUCUCUUCUCUUUUUUUUUCGAGCUCUUUUAACUCCAGGGUGCCACUCGCAUUCACCGCAGGGAAACAGAAUAGGGUAUUGCAAUGGAUCAUAGCAGCCAUGGUAAUGUUUAAUUCUAUAGCUGCUAUUUGAAUGAGUAUACACUUGAAUAUGAGCUCCCAUAUGGUCUGAUUCAUCUUCAUUUUCAGUCCAUAUUGCUGCAACUUGGGACGCAGAAGGAAGGUUAUAAACUCGCUGGUCAAGGGCGGGAUAACAGCAAAAUACAAUGUUCAAGUUGUUAAUGUUUGGAACAUGGCUAAGGUUUCUGAAGAACUUAGCAUAAGGAUUGUUACUAAGAAUGCGCAUAAGGAGUCUUAAUGUGGUUGCUCGCAACUUAUCAGAAGCAGCAACCCUCUUUGCUAAUUCUUCAUCAGUGUCAAAGAAGUAUAGUUGAAUCCCAGAUGCUGUAUCGUCUGACCGGAAAAGGCCAUUAAGAAAAUGAUAAACCUGACCUUGAACACGAAAGAUGUAAACACCUUUGGUGUUCUUUGUUAGUUCAGAAUCAUAUUUAGCAGUAAAUGAUGUGAAGCCUAAGUUAUUGUUGUAAGUGCGAGCAUUAUUCCUAAAAUGGAAGCUCUCCUCAUUGCUACCAAUGAAUAAGCGCUUCAAAUCGUAAGGCAUAGGAGGAGCGACAACAGAAAUUUCUCCUCCUGCGCAGCAAAAAUUAGGCGGUUCCAAAUGGAAUCUUUUCGCCCCACAAUGGCCACAAGGAGUAGCAUCAGGCAAAGCCAAAGACUCAUUAGGAAUAUUGUUCACGAGGGAAAGAUUUGGCUGGCCACGCCUCCGUUUUCUCCCUGUGGUUGUUUGCAUGCAAUUUGUAAACAUGUUGAGUUAAGACUGUGUAUAAAUAGGCAAGAAGGAAUCCUAAACACAGGCAGAGAUAAGCGAGAAACAACACUAAACCUGCAUUCUCUGUUCUCACGGUAGAAGAGUUACUACGUUUCUUGCUAUGUGCAGAAAUUGCAGAGGAUGGAUGAAGAGGAGUAUUCCUAUUUUUUUUCCUUCUCUGGCGAACAGAGGUCACUGUAGACUGGUUAAAAUUGCUUGCUGGAAAAGAAGAAGUUUCUGUGGAUAAUAAAAUCCAAUAAGACAAUUGGUAAAGUUGUGCAGGGCUUUGUAUAUGUACAUUUAAUUAUUAACAGGAAAAAAUGCUUAAGAGGUGAAGAAGCAAGUAAUGGGGCCGCAAGUUAUAGCGAAAAAAGAACUAAACAAGGAUUAUUGGAGAGAAGAACUGCACUAAAUGAAAGUUGAAUCUGUGGAAACACUCGGUAAUGGAGGAUGCAUUUUUUUUUGCAAAGUGGCCGAUAUAUGGAAAACAAAAUUUGCGGCUGAGAGGAAUAUAAGGUGAAGAAGACGCAGCUGCUAUAAGUUAAAACGGGCAUAAUUCUGAACAGGAAAGGCUUGCAAGGUUUCAAAUACUAAAUAGGAGCACUGCAGGAUUCAAACAAAAGGGAACUCAUUUUUAGCAACACAGAGUGCAUAGUAAGCAAUAGGAAGGCAGAGGAGCAGCAAUAAAAUGGAAGAGGAAAAUUCAAAUCCAGCAGAAAAUAAGCUAAUUAAGAAAUACCUUCAUUAACAGAUGAUGCAGACCUGGGAGGCAUAUUUUUUUUAGAAGACGGUGAAGCACGAUCAUUGAGCAAAUUAGAUACAUCAGGAGUGUAAUGGAACUCUCCACACCCUAUAACAACACUCUCAACUGGAAGAAAGCACUCUCGAUUUUCUAGUGUAUUAGAAAUGACAGGAGGUUGAUCCUCAUUACCAGAAGAUCUAUCAUGACCAUACGCAAAACAGACAGUAGAUUCCACACAAGCAGGAGGAACCUUGUGAACGUGAGAGCGGGAAAUUUUUUGUUUUUUCUUCUCAGAUCUAGCCUCUCUCAGAGAACGCAAAAAUUUAGCUUUCCACGCAAGGCGUUUCUAUCCAUCUAAUUCCAGAUACUAAGUAAGGGAGUAGCUACAUGAGAUAAGAUAAUAAAGGCUACCAAAUAAGCAGCCACCAAGCUGGGGAGCAGCAACUAAGCAAGGAAGCAUGGCAAGGCGAAGUUUACUAUUAAGGGAUAAGAUAAUAAAUGCUAGGCAACGAAAUAUCAUACAACUGGUGAGCAUAAAAAAAGCGUAGAGAAAAGAAGUGCACAAGUAAACGAAUAAGGUGGCCGAAGAGAACUACAAGCACAGUAGCAUGCAACAAAGGAAAAAGAGAAAAAAACUGCAUGGUUGAUGGAAAAAAACAAGCCAGCGCAAACUAAAAGCAAACAAAGUUACAGAACAGGGAGAUAGCAAGAAAAAGGCAAGAAAAAAGGAGAAGAAGGGAAGAAACGCCACCUCAGGCAAACAGGCACACCUCAGUGAAUGGAAUAGCAACAACAGGGCGCACAGGAUCUCUUGCUGUCAAAACAACAGACAAAGAAUUGAGAAGCAAGCAUGACAUGAGACAAAGUACAACAGAGAGAAGGGAAAAUUUUGGGAAAUGCAGACAAAGGAUAAAACAAGAAAGAUACUAACCUGAACUAAAAGAGGAGGAGCUGACAGGAGAAUCCGAAGAGAACAAAAGCUACAAAACAACAAAAGAAUUCAGAAGUCGUGCACAGCAGAGGAUAUUCUAAGCAAAAGAGAGAAAAAGAUUCCAAAAAGCAAUACAGGCAUAAUAUAGAAUCGUAAGGAAGGAAAAAAAAAACAAAGCAAUGGGGGAAAAAACAACGGGGAGUUCAUAAUGUAGGGCGAGCAAGCAUGCCUACCAGCAGCCAACCAAAAGUUGCAGAGGUGCGAGCAAGGUUCUAAGCAGCAAGGCAGCAACAAAGCAAUACAAAGGAAGGUGAAGGAAAUAAGCUGGAAGAAGCUUAGUUCAAACAACACUGAUCAUAAUGCAGGCCUUCCAAAAUCCAACGGGAGACUCGUGAUAGCCUCGCCAAGACUGGACGGAAAUGUUUCAAUCAAUCUCGUCAUCAUCAUCAGCCAAAAGCAAAGAAGGAAGAGCUGAAAGUCAUUCUGUGUCAGCAUUGCACAGCGCGCAGAGAAGAAAAAUUUACACCAACAAGCCAUUGAAUGGAACAUAGUCUUUAGUGCACAUUCCGUAAUUGCGGCAAAACAGUCAGGGUAAAAGUGUCAUUUCAAUUUCCCUUUAUUCAGCUGACCACCUAACGUUUGACAUUGAAGAAGAGACAUCACACCUGCUACAAUGUUACAAUGCGUCAUAACAACUACUCUUGCCACUCUGUUCACCCUAACAUUAUCAGUUUUGAGUACUAUCUUACAGUUCUAGUCUUAGUUGUAGUCCUUUAUGUUUAUAUUAUAUUAUAUUAUUAUUAACAUAUUAUUAACAUAUAUAUAAAAGAGCGAAUGCCAUGGCUCAAAAGAGGUGCUUGUGUUGGAGAUGUGGCCAAUCGUUAUUGGCUGGAGAGUGUUCGUCCAAGUAGCUCGUGCUCCUCACGUGAGUUUACUUUGGAUUCCAUUGUGUCUCCAAAGAAGAAAAAGUACUACUCGGUCUCCAAAGUAAAGUACUUUGCCUCCAAAGAGUAUGUCAGAUGUUUACCUGCUUCCCAUCUCACUUUCUCUGUCUCGGACAGAAAGUUGAAGGUUGAAGUUGUGGGUAGUUGUCAGAGUGCUUCAUUAAGACAGAAACUAACACCUCUUGUAAAUACUCCCAAAACUUGUUCACAAUUCCAGCUGGUGUUGCGAAAAUAGCCUUGACCAUUUUUUGUAGUGAAGUGAGAAAUGCUGUGCGAGGAAGGAAAUUAGGUAAGCUUAUACCUUUAACUUCCUCCAGGAUGCUAAUCUCUUCCUCCAAGAACUGCUGCUUUUGUUCAACUUUGAUAGACGAACACUCUUCCUUUCUCGCUCUCCCUCUCUGUCAAACGAUGACCAGAUCUAUCAUUUAUCUACAUGUUUUCUUUCUUCUUUUCUUCUUUGUUAAUAAACAAAAAUUAAAAACAAAUAAGGCACUUUGAUGUUUUUUGUUUAGUUUUUGUUUCUUUCUUUGUUUUCUUGAAUUUGCAGUUACUCACAAUCGCAUUUUGCUUCUCAUAGAUUGCGGACAAUGGAUUGAAUGUCCACGAGAAGGAGAAAAAGAAUCAACUUUCCAGGUUGUGCGAUUUUCUUUAAUUUAUUUUUCAGUCUUUUUCCAAUUUUACUCUAGUAUAGCAGAAAGCAAGAAAGAAACACCGCUGAAAACGAGGCCAUUUAGUCUAAGUCUGCUAAGAACUAAGAAAUAAGAAACAAGGACAGAUUGAAUGAAGCAAAAAAGGAACGGAAAGCAAACGAAUUGGAGAGGAAGUUGGACGAACACUCUCCAACCAAUCACGUUUGGCCACAUCACCAAAAGUACACAAUCUUGAGGUAUGGCAUUCCCUCUUUUAUACCUAUUGUUAAUGAGAGUAAACUAUUUCCAAAUAAUAAAUAAAUAAUAUAUCCUCUCACUCAAAAAAAAGGGAUAAUUGCAGAAACCUCCCCUGACUUUUAUAGUAAUAGCAUUGACCUCCCCUAUCAAUUUUAAAAUAGCACUGACCUCCCCUAUCAAAAGUUUGAGGCAAUUUAAUAGGCAAAAGUGGGUCAAUUUACUAAAGUACCCCUGACAUGAUUUAAUUUUACCAAAUGAAUGUGAUAGUACUUUCAUCAAACCCAACAAAACAUUUGUUAAUAAAAAUUACACUAAAUUAACUAUUUCUGCAUAGUUUAACUAAUUAACUAAUUAACUAAAUAAACUAAAUAACUAAUAAUCUAAUUAAUUAAUAACUAAUUAUCUAAUUAAUUAUUAACUAAUUAACUAAUUAUCUAAUUGUUAAUAGUUAUUAACCAAUCAAACUAUUUCUGCAUAGUUAAACUAAUUAACUAUUAACUAAUUAUCUAAUUAACUAUUAACUAAUUAACUAAUUAUCUAAUUAAUUAAUUAACUAAUUAACUAAUUAUCUAAUUAACUAAUUAACUAAUUAACUAAAGCUGUUGUCUGUCCGAAACUAACAAACUAUUUGCAUGUUAAACUAAUUAACUAAUUAACUGCUUAACUAAUUAACUACCUAAUUAUCUAAUUAAUUAAUUAACUAAUUAACUAAUUUUUGUUUAUCUAAUUAUCUAAUUAACUGAAGUUGUUGUCUAUCCGAAACUAACAAACUAUUUGCAUGUUAAACUAAUUAACUAAUUAACUAAAGCUGUUGUCUAUCCGAAACUAACAAACUAUUUGCAUGUUAAACUAAUUAACUAAUUAACUGCUUAACUAAUUAACUAACUAAUUAUCUAAUUAAUUAAUUAACUAAUUUUUGUUUAUCUAAUUAACUAAUUAACUAAUUUCUGUUUAUCUAAUUAACUAAUUAACUAAAACUGUUGUCUAUCCGAAACUAACAAAUUAUUUGCAUGUUAAACUAAUUAACUAAUUAAUUAAUUAACUAACUAACUAAUUAACAAACUAUUUGCAUGUUAAAACAUGCAGUACGCAUUAUCUAUUUAAAGUAUCGGCUCUUUAUGGGUAUUUUACUUUCAAACAUUUAAUUUAUGAUAAAAACAUCAAUGUUUGUAAGUAAAAUUCAAAAAGUGUUACAGUAAUAUUCUUACAAAAAGGGAGGGGCAUAGAGCCAUAAAUUAAAUGUUUAAAAGUAAGAAUAUUGAUAUUACUGUAAUACUUUUUGAAUUUUACUUACAAACAUUGAUGUUUUUAUCAUAAAUUAAAUGUUUGAAAGUAAAAUACUUAUAAAGAGCCGAUACUUUAAAUAGGUAAUGCGUACUACAUAUAGUUUAACAUGCAAAUAGUUUGUUAAUUAGUUAGUUAGUUAAUUAGUUAAUUAGUUAAGCAGUUAAUUAGUUAAUUAGUUUAACAUGCAAAUAGUUUGUUAGUUUCGGACAGACAACAGUUUUAGUUAAUUAGUUAAUUAGUUAAUUAAUUAAUUAGAUAAUUAGUUAAUUAAUUAAUUAGAUAAUUAGUUAAUAGUUAAUUAGUUUAACUAUUAACUAAUUAGAUAAUUAGUUAAGCAAUUGUCAAGCAAAUAAUAAUUGUCAAGCAAGUAAGGGCAAAAUUGGAAGAAAAUUCUUAUCUCACUUCUACAAAAAGCUGUCAAGGAGGUUUCUGCAACGAAUUGUUACUGUUCAGGGGAGGUGAAUGCAAUUUCUAAACCUAGAGGGGAGGUCAGUGCAAAUGUCAGAAAUAUCAGGGAAGGUUUCUGCAAUUAUCCCAAAAAAAAAAAGACAUUGGUCCAAUAUUAUCCACACACACAUUCACGCACAGGUAAUUAUUGGAAGUACGAUUCAUGUCAUAAAUGAAUCAUGUGAUAAUUCAGACGCUGCACCAGACCAUUAUAGUAUGUGCCAGAAUGUUUCCCUGUAUAUCCUAUACUUCACGAGAAAAUUCUUAAAUUGUGAUGAAAAAAAAAAGUUAUUCUACAAAGGGGGUGAUUUGUGAAGUUGGUUCCACAAAUGUGAUCUUCGCAUUUGUGAAAUGCGAGUUCAGGUACCUCGCAUUUCACAAAUGCGAGGUAAGUGUUUUCAGAAAAAAAGAAAAAAAGUUCGCAUUCUCCAAAUGCGAGCUUAUAAAGCUCGCAUUUGGAGAAUGCGAGCUGAGAUACCUCGCAUUCAAGAAAUGCGAGGUACUCAAUCUUCUUGCUCCAUUUGCUGGUACAAGAACCAGCAUGAAGUACAAGACUUCGCGGUUGCAAAAUGAGAAGCAACAAAUGGGAUUUUUCUUCAUUUUUCUUUUUUCUCCAAGAUUACCAAUACACAAUUCCACCUCACUCACCAGAAGAUGCCAAGAAUAUUCUGGAAUUAAGAGCAUCAAACGGCUCAAAUUCUGGCCAUAAAAAUGCAGCAAACAAUUACCAUGGAUGCCAAGAACUGGGGCUGAGAGUUUUGAGGGACUGAGGAAGACAAAGAGCAAGAGUGAAAUGGGGGGAAAAGGGAAGAGUGGAAGCAAGAAGCUUUCGGAGGGUUGGAAAGGAUGAGCUGGAGCAGGAAAGAAAAGAAAGCAGAGGAGAAACUAAGAGAAAAAGGAGGAACUUUGCAGCUGGGUUUGUAAGAGAGCUACGGGUUGAGUGAGUUGCCUGGGCGAGAACCUCGCAUUUGUUAAAUGUGAGGUAUAUGACCUCGCAUUUAACAAAUGCGAGGUCUGUUUUUCUUUUUCUUUUUUUUUUUUGAUUUGAAUGCUAGGAAAAUUCAGGAGACCUCGCAUUCAGCAAAUGCGAGUUCCUCGAGCUCGCAUUUGCUGAAUGCGAAGACCCCUCGAACGGAAUCCCAUACAAAAAAUGUCCCCUUUGUAGAAUUUUUUUAAAAAUCAUCAUAAUUUUAGAAAUUUCUCUAUACUUCACACAAUUAAACCAUUAAUAAACCUUAGCUUCUAAACCCCAAGUAUUCGGCCAUGGCUAACGAGCCCAAAUUACACGUAGUUAUGUUCCCAUGGUCGGCCUUUGGGCACAUUAUCCCGUUUUUGGAGCUCGCAAAAUUCAUAGCUCAAAGGGGUCACGAGAUCACCUUCAUUUCCACCCCAAGAAACAUCGAUCGCCUCCCAGAAAUCCCACCAAUUUUUGCUUCUUCUAUAACCUUCGUCAAAAUUCCACUGCCCAGAGUUGAAGGACUUCCGGAAAAUGCGGAGGCCACCAUGGACAUCCGUAACGAGGACAUUCCCCAUCUCAAGAAGGCCUAUGAUGGGCUCGAACCCGAGUUGACUUUCUCGAGAGCUCGCUUCCGGAUUGGAUUAUCUUCGACUUUGCUCCUUACUGGUUGCCUCCAAUUGCUGCCAAGCUGGGAAUUUCUAAAGCAUUCUUUUCAAUUAUCAACUCAUGGUUUUUGGCAUUUCUAGGACCGUCAGAUGUAAUGAUCAAUGAUGCAGAUCCAAGAUCGACGGUCGAGGAUUUCAUAGUUCCUCCCAAGUGGGUUCCUUUUGAGACAAAAGUGGCGUACAAGCCGUACGAGAUCAACUGGAUUCUAGGAGCAGGUCAGGAGAAUGUAACCGGAGUAUCUGACAGCUCCCGUUCGGGAAUGUUAAUGAAGGGUUCUGAUGUUAUUGUCGUAAGACAAUCCUACGAGUUUGAAGGGCAGUGGUUGAAGCUUCUUGAGGAGCUGCAUCAAAGAAAAGUGAUUCCUUUGGGAUUAAUGCCACCCCAAGUGGAAAAGAUUAGCAAUGAUGGGAAUGAUUCCUGGGAUUCAAUCAGGGAAUGGCUUGAUGUUCGAAACAAGGGCUCAGUUUUGUACGUCGCAUUGAGGUGUCACUCAGUCAAACGGAUGUCACUGAGUUGGCACUCGGGUUGGAGUUAUCUGGGGUACCAUUUUUCUGGGCGCUAAGGAAGCCGUCUGGAUCCACCGAGUCAAUUCAGGUGCCAGAUGGGCUUGAGGAGAGAGUCAAGGGGAGAGGGACUGUGUGGAAAGGCUGGGCCCCACAGUUGAAUAUACUGAGUCAUGACUCAGUGGGUGGGUUCUUGACUCACUGCGGUUGGAGUUCAUGCAUAGAGGGACUUGUGUUUGGUCAUCCGCUGGUUAUGCUCCCAUUUUUGGUGGACCAAGGGUUGAACGCUAGGGUUAUGGAGGAUAGGAAGGUUGGAAUUGAAAUACCCAGGAAUGAGCAAGACAGGUCAUACACGAGAGACUCGGUGGCUGAGUCUGUUAGGCUUAUUAUGGUUGCAAAUGAAGGGAAAAUUUUCAGGGAGAAAGCUAAAGAAAUGAGUGGAAUAUUUGGAGACAGAGAAUUGCAUGACGGCUACAUCCAAAAAUUUAUAGAUUAUUUGGAGAACAAUAGACACAAUCCCAUGGAUGGAUUGUGCCACUAGGACCCUUGUGCUAUGGAAAUGAUGAUAUUUUCUUUUUUUUUUUCUUUACUCAUCUUUUUUUUUUCCCCUUGCUUUCUAUUGUGCUGUGUCCUAAGAAUAAGAAACUGUCAUGUUAGUUAAAUUUGUGCUACCAUAUGCAAUGAUUUAAGCUGGAAAACUUUCAGGGCUUCUGUUCUAUACACGCAGUGUUAAAUAUAUAUAUAUCACGUAAUUAAAUUUAAAAUUUAAAAUUUAAUUUUUACACAAGUAAUUUACAUGUACAACUAUUAGUGUUACAAAGAAAAUCAACACUAACUGACUGACAGCGUAUACAAACUUAAUCUUAGAUCAAAUAUUAAUAUGAGGAGGCUAGCUGAUAUUCCGUGUAUUCACUCAAUUGGGUGUCCGGCCGGUGUGCAAUUCUCUUUAGUUUUUUCACUAAAGCAAGUAGUUUAUUUCCUGAACAGUCAAAUUUUUGUGGGCUGUAUUGAAUAGUUAAAUUGAAGAAAAAAUUUUGGCGGGGCUUGAGAUUUUUGUGGACUACCCUCUUGCUCCAUAUCUGCACCUAAUCCAACGCAUACCCAAGGAGAAUCUGCAACGUACUACGAUCUUUCACCCACGAACUAACACCUUUUGCUUUUUUUUUUGGUUAUGGUGGCAUUUGCUGAUCUGAAUAACUUUGCAUCGACAAAGCUGAAGAAAUUAGUGCAGUAUUUGGAGAUCCAGAGCUCCACGGCAGUUACGUGCAGAACUUCGUAAAUUACUUGGGAAAGAACAGACCUAAAUCCAAAUAAGAAAUGUUUAUAUUAAAAACAUUGCACCCAUUGGUUUUUUUUUUUUUUUUGGAGUAUUCUGUUGUUUUACUCGGUUCUGAAAGUACAUCAUUUCUUUCAAUGAAAACGUCCAUUCAUGCAAGUUAACAAAUCAUGUUCCAUGACUUAAGGGGUAUGAAAAUUUUAUUGUUAUAGCAACUGUGCCUUUUUUUUUUUUCUAUAAUUUUUUUGGGAGCAACUAUGGGCAUUCAUUGAUCAAACCAUUAUAGCAAUUGUGCUCUUCAUCGAUCCUUGGGUGCAUGCGCGUAAUUGUGUUGGACAGUUUAAUACACUCAAUUCCCUUCCACUUUGUAUUGCUAUUGGAUCGGGGAAUUGGCGAUUAGUUUUUGAAACGUGAAAUCAGCAACUUGUUGAUUUUUGACGAAUAGAAUUUCUACUAAAUGUGUUGUUUAACACGUUAAGAAGAAGAAGAAGAAAAUAAACACGACAAGAAGCGUGUUUACUUGCUUAUAGCAGGAAAACAGCGUCUAAUUAUCUAGAAACAGUUAAUGACUUCUUGUAUCCGCUGCAAGAAGUAAUGUGAAAUUUCACUACAUAUCCAAAAAACUAGACAGUACAUUUUUGCCAAUAACUCACUGCAAUGUGACAGUGAACCUGUGAUUACAAAACCGAGAGGCCCCAGUCAUCACUGCAAAUUUCUCCAAAAAUAUCAGCGGCGUGAUAGCAACUCGUGCUUUGAUUUGUGGUAGGUAGUGCUCCAGGAUGAAGCGUCUAGGAUGAAUACCCAACAGAAGAACAACAACGAAUAUGUCAUCAACACCUCAAGAAAAGCUGUAGGCAAGGAGAAAAAUCAUAGAGCUAAAAUUCCAAUACCAUUUCAUGGCAGACAAACCCAGCAGCUUACAUGUUGUCAUGCUUCCUUGGUUAGCCUUCGGCCAUUUCAUCCCUUUUCUAGAGCUCUCCAAAUUCAUAGCUCAGAGAGGUCACAAAGUUAGCUUCGUUUCCACCCCUAAAAACAUCGAUCGCCUCCCUAGAAUCCCCCCAAAUUUAGCAUCUUCUAUUACCUUUGUAAAAAUCUCACUUCCCCGAGUCGAUGGGCUUCCCGAAAAUGUGGAGGCCACCGUAGACCUUGGCGAUCUUGAUGUUGCCGUUCUCAAGAAAGCCUACGACGGACUUGAGCCCGAGUUGACUCGUUUCUUGGAAGACUCAGCUCCGGACUGGAUUAUUUACGACUUUGCCCCAUAUUGGAUACCUCACAUCGCAGCUAAGCUCAACAUAUCUAAAUCAUUCUUUUGUAUUUAUAGCGCUGCCAGUAUGGCAUUCUCUGCACCCUCUCUUGAUGCGAUGGUCGCGGGUACUGAUCCCAGAACUAAGGUCGAGGAUUUUACGGUUCCACCGAAGUGGAUCCCAUUCGAGAGUAAAUUGGCAUUCAAGUUGCACGAGAGUAGAUUUGUUGUGCGAAGUAAGAACCUAGAUGGAUCGGGUGUAUCGGAUAUGUAUAGGAUCGGAUCGGCUAUAAAGGGUGGAGAUGUUACAUUGAUAAGAUAUUGCCCCGAGUUUGAAGGCAAGUGGUUGAAGUUACUUGAAGAUUUGCUACAGCGGCAUAUAAUACCGCUGGGAUUAAUGCCACCCCCGGUGGAAAAAAGCAUCGUCGAGAACAACGAGUCCUGGACUGCAAUCAAGGAUUGGCUUGAUGGCCAAGGUAAAGGCUCGGUGGUUUAUGUGGCACUUGGGAGUGAGGUAUCACUGAAUCAACUCCAACUCAGUGAGUUAGCUCUUGGGCUGGAGUUAUCCGGGGUACCAUUUUUCUGGGCACUAAGGAAUCCAUCUGGGCUGCCAGAGGGGUUCGAGGAUAGAGUCAAGGGAAUGGGUAUCGUUUGGAAGAAUUGGGCACCUCAGCUUAACAUACUGAGUCAUGACUCAGUGGGUGGAUUCCUGACUCACUGCGGGUGGAGUUCGAGUAUAGAGGGGCUCAUGUUUGGUCAUCCGCU